AAGGUAACAUGCUACCCGCUUCGUUUAUUUCAUUUAGAAAUAAACUUAGCUAGAAAUGUGAAUCAACUAGAAUUCGAACUUGGGUCUCGGAUAUCAACCACCAAACCCUUUUACCACUUGUGCUAGGGACGGUCGGUUUAAUUUAUCUUAUUUUAAUGUCUAUUACAGAUAUUUAGAUAUAAGAGAACACAUCUAGGGUAUGUUUGGUUCACCUAUUUUAAACUAUGGAAUCGGAAUGAAAUUCAUCAAUUCCGAUAGUUGCCGUUUGUUUUAUAAGAAUCGGAUUCUGAUUCCGGAUUCCGAUUCCCAUUUCACUCCGGAGUGGGAAUGGCCAAAUCCAUUUAUGAUCCAAUCCGGCUUUGAAUUCCGGAUUGGAUCAUUCCAAAGUAAACUAUUCAAAAUCCUCUUUCACCAACACCUACCUACUCUCUCUUCAUCACUUUCUCUUUCUUAAUCAAAACUCUUUUUAAAAAAUUUUAAAUUUUCAUUCUAAUUUCCAUUCCAAUAAUGAAUCAAACAUUUUGAAUGAUUCGCCAUUUCAUUUUUCAUUCCAAAGCAAUUCAAUUAUAUUUUUCAUUCCUAUUCCAAUCAUGAACCGAACAUGUCCCUAAUUGAUUGGGUUUUUGAUUACUGGGUACAUUAGUUAUAGUGUCUUGGUCUUCAUCUUUAGUUAGGUUGAUGGUCACUUACGGUGCAAUUAAAAAAAUUCGAGGAAUUAAUUAAUGUAUUUUGAUAUUGAUAAUGAUGUGCACAAAUUAAUGGAGUUAGGAAUUGUGACGUGACGAGGCAUGGAUAUGAUGAGUACUUAAUUUGCCAUUAUUUAAUAUCCUCACUACAUUGUUCUAAUCUAUAAAACCUACACGUAUAUAUACUACCUAUGACUUAAUAUUGGAUUAGUCAUCAACACUAGUCAAAUUAACCAAAAAAGUUAAAGAGAAAAAUCAUGGCAGUUUGAAGAUUAAAUCUUUGCUAAUCAUUUAUUUAACUUUUAAUAGAAUGCUUAAAUCUUGAGAAUUGAUGUCACGCUCCAGAUUACAGCGAAAGUCUGAGUUACGUCAACAGACCCGCUGCAUGCACAAGGAUACACUUUAUACAUACGAACAACAAUAAAAACUGUUCAACAAAAUUAACUAAAAUCCAACAAUAAUAGCUAUCAGAGGAAAAUAACUAUAUACUAUAGAAAUACUGUAACGAUCUACAAUCAUCACCACACCAGUUCUCAAAAUGGUACAAUAUUUCUGACCACUCCAAAUAUCAAAAUGCUGUACAAACUGCUCACUAAUAGGUGGUCUAACUACACACACAAGAAGGGUAGGAGAUACUAACUAUCCAUGAUCCCAUUAUCUCGAUCCGUCGCUGGUGCUAAAGCUUCUGAAAUAAAAUAUUAAAUAAUAGGGUAUGAGAAUUAUAAUCAAUAGUUCCCAGUGGGUACGAUCAUCAGCACCGACGGUGUACACCAUUAGGUUCAUAAGAGGCAAAAAUAGUAAAUAACUGAGCAAUAUAAAGGAAUAAAUACUAAUAUGAAUAACUGCUAAAAAUAGCUACUACUAUCAUGCCUCUACAGUAUAAUUGAAAUUGUAAAUUAUAUUUUGUAUGCAUCAAUUAGAAACUAAAUAAAAUACUGCAAUAAUGUCCAAUCAUAAUGACCGACUCAACAGUCAGGUCUAACCUGCGCCGCCUCGUGUCUAGCACGCACCUAUAGUGGUCCGCUACCACGCAGGCUACUGUCUGACCUAUAUCAUAAUAAUAUCUUAUAAUCGAACCUCUGGAGUGGCACUCGCGAGGUAUUACCCCAACCGAAUAUAGUAUCACUGUCAAACUCAAUAUAGCAUGCAGGCUGUGGUCAAAUGCGAUGAUUAAAUAGAUCAUGACAAUAUUGUCAGUGUCCAAAAUACAAUUAUAAUCUGAUAAUAUCUGUAGCUGUCUAUUGACCUUUAGAAAAAUAUCACAUGCGCGCGCGCGCGCGCGCGCACACACACACAUAUAUAAUUAGGCUCGAAUACUAUCAAUAGCACCAAGCUAUUGGUGCUAUUGAUUUUUUAGCCCUUGGAUUAAGAAAUGGAUGGUUAGAAUAAUGUGGGCCCUCUAGGGUUGAGUGAGUGGUUGGUUGAAUAGUAUAAUCUAACCGGUAAAAAUAAUCAAAGGGUUAAAUCUAACGGUGGAAAACUCGAUAACACCAAAUCCUUGGUGCUAUCGAUAGUACCCCAGCCGUACUAUAUAUAUAUAUAUAUAGAGAGAGAGUUUUGCUAGAAUACUAUCGGUAGUAAACAGCUCGGUUUACUACCGAUUUGUUUUCGAUGAUAGAGCUUCCAAAUUGAUGAUCGGCACCGUUAAAUAUGAUCUAAACUAUUUAAACUAUCUGGAAAUUAAAUUUCACACAUUUUCGAUAUUGUUCUCUUAUCCAUCAAGUGAACAAAAAAAUUAAUGGCUGGAAACGAAUAUCCUUCAAAAAGUGAUGAUACAAUUUUUAUAUUUGAAAUCUAGAGUCUAGAUUUUAUUUUAAAUAGUUUAAAAAUUUUCUAACAAAAAUUUAGUUGAUUUGAACUCUUCUAUACCGUUAAAUGAGCAAACGCACCAUAUCGGCCAUUAAAAUUAUAGAUUUUGUUACUGUUUGAUCGAUCAGUUAGUGAUGCCAAAAAAUUAUAAAAUUUGAUUUCUAGAUAAUUUAAAUGGUCUAGAUCAUGUUCAACGGUGCCGAUCAUCGAUUUCGAAGUUGUAUCAUCAAAACAAAUCGGUUGUAAACCGAGCAGUUUACUACUGAUAGUAGCCCGGUCAAACUCUCUCUUUCUCUCUCUCUCUCUCUCUCUCUCUCUCUAGUCCGGCUACGGUACUUGUAAAAGUACAAAGCACUUGGUGCUUGUAAAUUUUUUACCGUUAGAUCGACGCCUUUGAUCAUUUUUACCCGUUAAAUUAUGCUAUUCAACCAACCACCCACUCAAUCCUAAGGGGCCCACAUUAUUCUAAUCGCACAUCCCUUAAUCCAAGGGCCGAAAACUUACAAGUACCAAUGACUUGUACUUUUAAAAGCAUAGGAGCUCAAUUCAAUAUAUAUAUAUAUAUAUAUAUAUAUAUAUAUCUAUAUAUAUAUAUAUAUAUAUAUAUAUCAAUUUACUUUAAUAGUAUAUGUUAAACUAUCAGUAUUAUUUCAACUAUGUCAACAAUUCAUUUCGCAGAUUAAAUAAUAUAUUAUGAAUAUAGAAAUUAGUCCGCCAAUUUUGAUAAUACGGAACCUACCUAUAUCACAAUUGUAAGAAACAGGACGACAGUCGAAAUAGCCAGUUGAUAUGUUACAACUCUCCUAAUCUGAACGACAGCCACGAAAUCAACUCCUAAAAUGUAUAAAAAAAUCAGUUUCUAACUCUCAAUUUCUACCAAAAAUUUAUCAAAAAAUCUAAACGAUAAAUAAUAUUAUGGUGAUACUAACCGCAACAUCGAAACGCUAAAAUAAACACGGGCACUCGAAUCUCUACGAAAGCAAAUCCCUCUUCUCUUUUUUUUUUCUUUUUUUUUUUUUUUUUUCGAGACCAAGCUCUUUCUCUCUCUACCUUAUGUUAAAGAGGAUAAUGAUUAGAGAAGCUCGGUGGCUCUACCUACUCAAANAGUUUCCAGGGAAUUUUUUUUUUUUUUUUUUCGAGACCAAGCUCUUUCUCUCUCUACCUUAUGUUAAAGAGGAUAAUGAUUAGAGAAGCUCGGUGGCUCUACCUACUCAAAUGCAAAAAUGCUAAAAAUUCCCUGGAAACUAUAUAUUUCAACUUUAGUUCUCUACAAAUUAAAUUUUGAGUUUCAAAAUUUAUUUUUACAUUUAUUUUACGCAAAAUGUCUCCAACUUAAUCAAUUAUAAAUUUAUAUUGUAACCUUACCAAUUUGCUAAACUUCAGUAUAUCACAAUUGACGAAAGGAUCGAAUUUUGGAUAUUCAUUACGACACACAAUGUUGAUCAUUUAUAAACUUAAAUAACUAUUUAUAAAAAAGGGAAAAGAAUUGCAAAGAACAUCAAAGUGUCAAACCAAAAAAUCAAUCUAUAUUUGAUUGAGGAAUUAAUAAUAUUAGCAUAUAUUGCUAAGCUAACAUUGAAAAUUAAGAAGGAAAAAAAAACAAAAAGUGGACAAAAGGUUUAAUUUUGGUGGCUAUUAAUUAAUGACAGAUGGAGUAAGGGCACUAGACUUUGGAAUAACAAAGUAUCCCUUCCAAAGACCAAAUUAGUUAACAAAUCGGGCUUUUUCACGGAGCUCACCUAGCUACUAGUGAAUCCACUAUCCUUAAUCCCUCAAAUAUAUAUAUAUAUAUAUAUUAAUUGACAGUGUCCAUCACAUCACAAAAAUAACUUCUCAAAGAGCCGUGUCUGCACUUAGGGCAACAGCCAAGAGAAGCUUGGCACAUAUCUAACAAAUUUUUUUUUGACCGUAAACCGACUAUGAAAUAUAAAUCAAAGAUAAAUUUCUAUACUAUAAUAAAAUUAUUUAAAUAUUAUAUAUAUAUAUAUAUAUAUUUUAUAUUACUAAUUAUUAGAUAUUUUACCAAUCAUCUAAUAUAUUUUAUGUUGUAUGAAAUAUUAGUAUAUGUCAGGUGCAAGCAAAAUUUCUCCUCACUUUCUUAAAAUUAUACGUGGACUUUAUUAAGUAUUCUCUAUACGGGUGUAUAUAAGUCCAUGCACUACAUGCUUAAAACAUUUAAUAAAAAUUUUAAAAUUUAAUUCAAUAAAUAUAUUUAAAUUAUUAAACUUUAUUGAUGAGAUAUAUUUAAUUAAAUUUUUAUAUUAAAAAUUAGUCAUCUAACAUAUAUUUCGGCGUAUGGUGUAUUAAAUUUGCAUGUUAUUUCAUUUUUCAAAACAUCAUUAUUUCAAUUUUUUUUUUCCUUUAGUUCAAUUAAAAUUAUUUUCAACUUAAACCAUAAUUAAGUGCAAAUGAACAGGUCUUUAGUGUAACUUAUUAUUCAAUAUUCCUUCGCCGUACGAUAUAUUAUUGGAUUUAUAGAGCAUCUCUCCAAACGCGCGCAUAUCACUCUGGCACGUAGAGCUAAUUUUAGAUGGCGUCCACAAGAGAAAGAGACAUGGCGCACUACGAGCGAGGCGACGUAUUUUUCCACACGGAAUUAAUUAAUGAGUUAAUCAUUCAAAUUCCAAUUUUUUUUUUCCAAGAGGAAUGGACCAGAAAAGUUAAUUUAAUCCUAACUUUUGGUGACCAGUUCAUGUUACAUUCUACCUCCGCGGCGCCACGUGCAUGGGCUUAUCUUUUGCCCACGACUACAAGCUUAAAAUUCCACCAAAUGAGAACAAAAUUCCAGAGAUACAUUAAGAUAAGAUUUUAAGAUUCCACCAAGUGAGAACAAAAAUCCAGAGACUUUAAGAUAAGAUAUUACGACAGGAGAAAUUUUGCAUGCAUACUCUAAUUAUUAAAAAGAUCGAUAUAAUAAAAAAUAAUUUAACAUUAGUUUUAAUAUUUCUGUUCAUUUGCAUGUAUACAUGCUAGGUGAAGUAUUCUAUUAAGUACUCAUUGGAGAGGGUUCAGAACCGGUUCUAAUACUCUGCUAUUCAAAAAUCAAUGUAUUAUUGCUUCUAAAAACUCUAACCUAGAUUUAAUUGAAAUAAAAAAUGUUGCAGGUUCAUUUUCUUAAUUGCUCCAAUCGAUUCAAUCAGGUAAUUACGGGGCCUUCAGGGCAUAUAGAUUACGUCAAAUUAAUCUAGCUGAUUAAGAUGGAUGCAUAUUUUAAUCAACAUGCAUAUCAUUUUAAUUAAUAUAUAUUUAGCGCGUUGUCUUAUAUGAAAAGGCUUAAUAGUUGUAAUUAAAAUUUACUCAUCAUUUCUUAAAUAAGGAAAAAUACAGAAAUGAUGGUGCAAAUGAUAAACAAAUAUUGAAGUAAAAUAAAAAAUAAAGUAAAUAAGUGGCAAUUAAGAUUAAAUCUUCAAUCUUUGAUUUAGUGAUGCAUUGUUUAUAUGAUUAGUAAUGCUCUUCUUAUAGACACUCUUACAAACUUCUUACAUACAUCCUUAGAUGACCGACCAUGUUAGAUCAUAUAUAUUGGCAUGUUAAAAUAACAAACCAAAUAUAUAUCGAUAUAGCUUAGAAUUAUAAAUAGAAUCAGAAAAAUAACUUACAAAGCGUGAUAGAGAAGAAAUUCUAAUGGACCAUACGCUAUUAAUAAAUAUUACGAAUUAGGAAACAUAGAAAUAGAUAAAAUCAUUCAAAACUAUGAAUUUGUAAAAUGCUUAUGAAAUAUAUGUAAAUAUAAGAUCUAUUCAUAUCGGAUCAUGCCGACUCAUCCCUUUGUCAUUUUUUUGUUCCAAAGUUGGUGACACACCACCCUAUAAAUUGGUACGACCAUGACUUGUUACUUUGGUCGCAAAUAUAGACUCUCUCGCGAUGCUACCGUCAAUUACCAGGCAUUGCUUCUUUUUUUUUUCGAAAAAAAAAAGCAAAUUAUCUGCUUUAUUUAUUUAUUUAAGCUCAAUAAACUCCAACAUAAAUGAGCCAAUAGAGCCUAUAUAGCGUCACAUAUACAUGCUUUUAGCCCUAAACUGAACAAGCUAACAUGUUUUCUCAGAAUUUAACUCGUUAGAUAUAAAAGUUAUAAACUUUAAAUAAUGAUUUUUUUUUUUAUGAAUUGAUUAAUCAUUCUUUCUGAACUAUUAACAUAUGUUGGGAUCGACUAGCUUAUGCUUCUUUAAUUUUUUAAUUUGUAUAGUAAAUUAAUUCGUUAAGUAUUGCAGAUCAUAUCUAUUUGAUUAAUCAAUUCAUAAAAAAAAAAAUCAUUAUUUAAAGUUUAUAACUUUUAUGAAUUUUGAAAGAGGGGUAGUUUGGUCAUCCUUCUGAAAAUUCGAAAGUCAGAAAAACUAAUGAGUGAGCUUGUAAGUAAGUGUUAGUGAUAGUAUUAUAAGUACACUAACCAUUUUUUUAAAAAAUUAAGCUAUCAAGAUAUAGGGUCUAGAUACUAUACAUUUGUGAAUCCCUUUCAAAGAUAGAACUUCUAAAUGGAUAAUUCAUACUAUUAAAAUAAUUUGGAUAAAUACUUUAGAAACCAAAUUUUAUAAUUUUUUAAUAUUAUUUAUCUUAGAAAAAACUUCAAAAAGCUCCCUUGUGGUUUCAAUUUUUUUUCACUUUAGUACCCUGUGAUUUAAAAUAUAUCAAAUUAGUACUAUGUGCUUUCUCACUUUAUCACUUUAGUACCCUGUGGUUUAAAGUUUAUCAAGUUAGUACCCUGUGGUUUUGCACUUUAUCACUUUAGUACCAUGAUGUUUUAAUUUUGUAUUAAUUUAGUACCCUGUGGUUUUUUAAAUCACAGAGUACUAAAGUGAUAAAAUGUGAAACCACAGGGUACUAAAGUGAUAAAGUGCAAUACAUACACUUUAAACCAUAGGGUACUAAAGUGAUAAACUGAGAAACCACAAGAUACUAAUUUGAUAAACUUUAAACCACAGAGUACUAAAAUAAAAAAGUGUGAAAUCACAUGGGAGGUUUUUGAAGUUUUCCCUUUAUCUUAUAAUUCAAAGACCUCAAAAUUAACAAUUUUCACAUGGGGCAUUUUCUCGUUUAACAACGUAAAGAUAUCCAAAUCAAUUGAUUUUUUGUUAGAAAAUUUUUUAAACUAUUUAAAACAAGAUCUAUACUCUUGAUCUUGAUUUCAAGACUCCUAUCNCAUAUGUUGGGAUCGACUAGCUUAUGCUUCUUUAAUUUUUUAAUUUGUAUAGUAAAUUAAUUCGUUAAGUAUUGCAGAUCAUAUCUAUUUGAUUAAUCUUAUUUUAACGCCUAUUACAGAUAUUUAGAUAUAACAGAACACAUCUUUGAAUUAGGUUUUCGAUUACUUUGCAUGUUAGUUAUAGUACCGGGGUCUUCAUCUUUCUUCGUUAUUAGUGUUGAUGGUCACUUAAGAGAAAUUAAAAAAUUUCGAGGAAUUAAUUGAUCAAUGUACUUUUAUAUUGCUAAUGAUGUGCACAAAUGGGGUUAGGAAUUGUGACGAGACGUGGCAUGGUAUGAUACCAUUAAUUAAUAUCCUUGACUACAGGGUUCUAAUCUACAUAUAAAACGUACACGUAUAUAUCCUACCUAUGAAUUAAUAUUGGAUUAGUAAUCAACACUAGUCAAAUUAACAAAAAAAAAAGUUCAAGAGAAAAACCGCAGUUGUUUGAAGAUUUAAUCUUUGCUGAUCAUUUCUUUAAUUUUUAAUGUUGAUCAUCUAUAAGCCAAAAUUAUUACUUAUAAAAGAAGUAACAGGACAUGCAAAGAACGCAAAAGUGUGAAACGAAAAAAUCAAUCUAAUUUGAAUCGAUUGACGAAUAAUAUUAGCAUAUAUAUANGUAUCCCUUCCAAUGACCAAAUUAGUUAACAAAUCGAGCUUUUCCACGGAAGCCACCUACUAGUCAAUUCCACAAUCUUUAAUCCCUCAAAUUCUAUUAAUUCCACACCCUUCACCCUAUAUAUACACCCCCACCCCCCUCUCCACAACAACACUCAAACACAUAUCCCAUUACUUGUUACCUACAAAGAGCUAUAAUUAAUCCCUAAACCCUUCACUCGCAAUGGGCUCCUCCUCCACCAGCAGCGCCGGCCUCAGUACUCUCCUCUUCAUUCCUUGCCUCCUCCUCCUUGCCGCGGCCCUCGCGGACGCCGCAACAUUCACGGUGACCAACCAGUGCUCGUUCACGGUGUGGGCGGCAGCGGUCGCAGGCGGCGGCCAAAAGCUGGACAGCGGCGGCCAGAAGCUGGACCCGGGCGCCACCUGGACCGUCACCGCCAAUCCCGGCACGACCGGCGGCCGCAUCUGGGCCCGCACCGACUGCUCCUUUGACGCCAGCGGCAAGGGCCACUGCAAGACGGGCGAUUGCGGGGGCGUGCUGGCCUGCACCGCCUAUGGCGUACCCCCUAACACCCUCGCGGAGUUCGGCCUCAACCAGUUCAGCGGCCUCGACUUCUUCGACAUCUCCCUCGUCGACGGCUUCAACGUGCCGAUGAACUUCCUGCCCGACUCCGGCAGCUGCACCAAGGGGCCGCACUGCGCCGCCAACGUGGCGGCCCAGUGCCCCAGCCAGCUGCAGGCGCCCGGCGGCUGCCACAACCCCUGCACGGUCUUCAAGACGGACCAGUACUGCUGCAACUCCGGCAGCUGCGGCCCCACGGAUUACUCCAGGUUCUUCAAGAAUCUGUGCCCCGAGGCCUACAGCUAUCCCAAGGACGAUGCCACCAGCACCUUCACCUGCCCUUCGGGGACCAACUACAAGGUCGUCUUCUGCCCACACUGAGAGGGUUACGUACGUACGUACGUACGAACGUACCCAUGGAUGCAUGCAAUGCAUGGGGCGCGCACUACGUGCUACGUGGGUUCCAUAUAUACAUAUAUAUAUAUAUAUAUAUAUAUAUAUAUAUAUAUAUAUACAUAAAGGGGUGCGGAUCAUGAUUCAUGACACGCACUGAUGAGCUAGCUCGCUGAUAGCUUGGUCAGUUUGCUUGGAUAUAUGCUAUGGAAUAAACCGCGCGUGAAAUAAAUAAAUUAGAUAAUACUUAUGGUUAUUUCGUGCAUGAAUAUAUAAUUCUAUAUACAUAGUAUAGAUAUGAUCGAGUGAAAUAGCUUUACUUUGUGGGUGGGCUCUCGAAGCAUAUAUGGAAUAGCUGCGGUGCUUAAUUUUGUCGUUAAUUUGGACUUUAAUGGUUUUUAAAAAAAAAAAAAUUGGCAUUCCGUAGUAGGAUUGACUUAGGUUUUGGAAAUGAAUGGUUGGGUGCAAAAAAGUGCCUCGAUCGGGAGUAUGGGGGCAUUUGCAAUAUGCUAUGAGAAAAAAAUGCUACUUAAUUAUAGAUUUAAAAGUGGAAGGGAAAUUUUCAAACUUUAGUUAUCAUGUGAUAUGGUUCAAACAAGGCUAAUAAUUUUUUUACUUUUUUUUCCCUAAAAAAAAAAAGGCUGUAUGAUAUGAUCGUGGGCCCUGGGUGAAAAAUAAAAAGGAAAAAAUACAUCUUAAUUAUACAUUUAAAAGUGGAAAGGAAAUUUUCAAACUUUAGUUAUCAUGUGAUAUAGUUCAAAUAAGGCCGAUAAUUUUUCUACUUUUUUUUCCUACAAAAAAAAAAUCCUGUAUGAUAUGAUCGUGGGCCCUGCCCCCUGGGUGAAAAAUUAAAAGGAAAAAAUACAUCAUAAACAAAACGAUCGCGAUGGGACUCGAACCCACAAUCUCCCGCUCCGGAGGCGAGCGCCUUAUCCAUUAGGCCACGCGAUCACAAAUAUUUUCUUUUCUAUAAUAUUUAUGAAUGUUUAUUUGAGUAAACUAGUGUGUAAACAAAUGAUACACGUCUCAACGUAGAAUAAAUAAAAGAGAAAAUGAGAUACCAAAGAGAAAAAUAAACAAGUUUAGUAAAACAUCAUGAGUAUGUCUAUUGCGCUUUCGAAAAUAUGAAGAUCUCUAUACUUAUAAAUUAUUUUCGAUAAUAGAAUAUUUUAUUCGACAACCAGCUUCGUUAAAUAUUAUCUACGCUAUCAAAAUUAUUUAUAAAUCAAAUUUUAUAAUUUUUCGAUAUCACUUAUCAAGUGAUCAAAAAAUUUCAAAAUUGACCAUUUUAACGGACGGCGUGACACGUUUGUAAGUUCAACGGUAUAGAGCAAUCCAAUUUCAUAAAACUUUAAUAGAAAAUCAUAUUUAACAUCGAGUGCGAGAACAAUACUUUCGAUUUAAAAUUUGUGUAGAGCAAUCCAAUUUCAUAAAACUUUAAUAGAAAAUCAUACUUAACAUCGAGUGCGAAAAUAAUACUUCCGAUUUAAAAUUUGAGUCUUUUAUCAUUAUUUUUAUGAGAUUUUUAUUUUUAGCCGUUCAUUUUAAGACUAGUCGUUUGCUAGGCAAAUGAAGUUAAAAAAUUAUAAAAUUUGGUUUCUAAACAGUUAUAAUAGUGUAACUCAUACCUAACGGAACCGAUCGUCGAAUCAAAUAUUUCAUCAUCAAAAAUAACUUACAAGUACGGAGAUCUCCGUACUUUCGAAAACACAUAAGCCUAACUCAAAACAUCAGAUACAUUUGUUAGAAAACACUAGUUCUGAUCAACAAGUAUAAUACAACAUGAACAAACCAAUCCCUCAAACCAAGACAUUAAUUUUCUCACAUUCAAUCCCAAUAUCAAAUCCCAAAAAUAUACAUCUCAAAACAUAUCAAACACAACAUUAAUAUCAGAGGCUUCAGAACAAAAAAUAAUAAUAAUAAUAAUAAUAAAAACCUCUAAUACUAUCCUCAACAAUUGUUCGCCUUGCACCGAAACAACACUCUCUUCUUCUUGUAUGAGCUAUUCUCAAUGGCGAGAACGACUUUUCCGGGCUCGCUGUUCUUGUAUGAGUUUCUGAUUGUUUCUUCCUGAUACCCAAUUUUUUUCGGCUUUUGAAUAACAAUUGUGUAUGAUCCUUCAUCAAAGGGAACAAAUUCUUCUUUGUAGUUCACUUCCCAUCCAAGAACAGUUAAAUCCCACACUAGAGUUGUCUCAGCCUGUUUACACAAACAACAUUACAAAAUAACUCAUUUAUUAAUGUUUUCGACACAUACAAUUUGAUUAAGCAAAUAAAAAGCCAUCCCUCACAUUAUAUGACAGGAUUGGAUUCUUUAUUUCUAUAUAUCUAAUAUGGGACUAAUAGAAGGCAAGUGAUUAAUUUAUGCACCUGUGGUAGGGGGAUUUCGACAUUUUCGGUCGAUCCAGCUUUAACUACGAGCUCGGUAAUCGCGACAUCGUCACCACCGGAGAAUUCGACAUCGCCCUCGCGCUUUAGCCCACCGUAAGAAACAGGUAUGUUUUCGGCAGGAAUAUACCUGGGGAAAAAAAAGAAAAAAAAGAGCUCACAAGUUUGAAAAUGCUCAAAUAGUUACAGUUAGUGAAUGCAUGAAUAGUGGUUAGGAUCAAGUAAGUGAGAAUGGCUUACUUGAGGAGAGUUUCCGUGACCCUCCAAGGGCGCGCGAACACGAAUUUGCUCCUUGUUCUUAGGGUUAGGAAGGGCGAGAUGAGGGCGCUGAAUGCGUAGAACCAAAAGGGCACAUUGAUGAAGAUCUACAAAUUGAUCGUUUUCAUUUACCAUGCACGUACGACAAAUUAAAUUUUAGCAAAUUUAUCAUGCUUGCAUGUCUCAAAAGUAAAAAUAUAUGAACACAAGAAAACUGCAUCGAUCAGUGUAGGAUGCAUACGAUCAUCAACAAAUUAAACUAACUCAGUUUGAUAUAUUAAUGGUAGGAAUAGAUAUAUAGAUGAUUGCGGAGAAUCUAAUAAAUGAACAAAACUAACUCACGUUCUUUGCGACGAACUCAGGAUAAUUAUCCUGAAGCAGCUGAACAGCCUCCCUCGUCGCGAUCCGCAGCUCCUUCUUCGAGACCCCGGGCGAGUUCUUGAGGUCGAUAACCUGAACGAAUGACGCGGCGGCCCCCGGCCUGAACUCGAGCUCGCGAAUCCCCUCCUCCAUGACCCGCACCCUCCACCGCAGCAGCUCCUUCCUCCGCUCCUCCGUCCCGAACGCCUUCCGGUACGACUCCGCAUCCCCGAACGCCCCGAAAACGUUGUAGCACACCGGCCGCCCCUCGCGGUCGCGCCCGGCCACGAAGCAUGCGCCGCUCUUGCAGGGCCCCGCGCCGAGGGAGCUCUCCUCGAGGAUCGAAUCGACCUUGUGUUAAAUAAUAUAAAAUAACCGUUAUUCUCUAUAAAGUUCCCAGUAAUAAUAUAUAUUAAGAGCCUGAUAUAAUUCAAGUUCAAAGUUUUCUUCUUUGAUAUCAUAUUAGAUAAUACGAAACAAUCGUUAUUCUCUGAAAAUUUAAGUCGGUGGAGAAUAGUGUCUAAAUAUUUUUAUAUUUAAUACCUUGCACUCCUUCCUCCACCGGAGCGUGUUGCGGAUCAUGUCGAACGCCUCUCGCUCUUUGAACUCGCGGGCGCGGAGGAACUUGAGGAGGAGCACAUUGGCGCUCUCCGGUGACUUUGUUGUGGGCACCAGUGUUACUCCCCAUAGAGAGAUCCCGCGCUCUCUCGUUCCCUCCUUCAUGUUCUCUUCUUCCUCCUCUGUGUCGUAGAGCUUAUCGUUGUUGGCGACGGCGUCUUCGAGCAUCGACUUCAAGUCCAUUAAGGCCUUCUUCUCGUGGUCUUUGAGGUCGGUGAGGAAGUAGCUCUCCUCCUUAAAGGAGGAGCUUUUCUCCAUUAUGGAGCCGAGAGUCGUGUGCUCUUUGUCAUCUUCUGGUUCCCUGUGAUCAGCAUUGUUCGGCUCGGCGGCGGCGGCAACGGUUUCGACCUUGACGAGCUCCGUCAGGUCGUCGACGGCCUCGACGGGUUCUUCUUUCGGAGCGGCGAGGGGAUCGGCGAUGUGGGUUCCGUUGGAUUGGACUUCAACGGUCAUGGUUGCGCAGAGGAGGAAGGGUACUGUUUGGAUCAAAAGCACACCAAGAGGAAAAAGCUCUGUUUUUUAAGGUAGGGGGGAGGGUGAAACAGAGGAGCAGUUUGGAUGAGAAAGGGAUGUGGGAGGGGUUUCCAACGGCUAAGUUUUAUGUGAAAUGAAAGGGUUAGGGGAAAAUGUAUGGAUACACCCUGUACAAUCCCUAUAUUGCAACUGGAUAUCUCUUUAUUCGCUAAAAGUAAUUAAAUUACUAAGGCGUGGUUUGAUAUUAUUGUCUUUUUAAAAAAUUUUAUUUUUUAGUAGAAUGUCUGUAUAGUGUAGGAGGGAUUGAUAGAUUGCUUUGCGGGCAAUUAAAAGUAAGAUACUUUAAAGCCUUUUUUAAAAAUUAUUAUCUAAUAUUUAACUGGAACCCAAUAAGUAUUAAAAAAAUUUGGAUAGUAUAUCAAAUUAUAUAUAAAAUCAAUAUUUUGAAAAAUAAAUAUGCAACUUCAUAAACUAAAGAAACAUUAUAGGACCCAUUUGCAAUAUCGAUAUAGUAGAAGGACUAUCCAUAAAUGGGCCCCAGUAAGCGGCCGAUGAACUGGCGCCGUCAUUAAUGGCGUUGCAAGCAGAUUCUCUCUCUCUUCCUCUCUCUCUCUCAUAAACGUGGAUGUAUUAUUAUACUAAAUAUUAAUUAUAAAUAAGUUUUAUUAUUUUUAAAAAAAUAUAUAUAAACUUGGAGAAAUGAAAAGUAGAAAACUACUAAUACUGUGGGGCCAGGUCAAGAGAGAAAAUAAAAUAAUGUAGUUUCCACUCUUGCUUUGCAUUGUUAUUGGUGUCUCAUGUGCUUAAGCAUAGGAGCUAAUGUUAAUUCACUAUCUUUUUCUAUAUAAGGGUUGUUGUAACGAGAACACUGUCGUUUGCUUUUGCGAGUAUAUUACUAUAUUUUCCGAAUUUUGAUGUUAGAAACUAUUUCCAAAGAUCCAUUAAUUUGUGUGUUACUAUAUUGUUUAAUAGCAUUGUAGAAUUAAGAUAUGAUUCAAAUUUAGAUAUAAGAGUAUCAAAUUUAGAAACUAUUUCGAAAGAUCCCUUCUUUCUCUCCCACUAAUGUAUCUCUCGUCUUAUGUUACCUGACUAAUCUUAUUAUUAUUAUUAUUAUUAUUAUUAUUAUUAUUAUUAUUGUUAAUCCUGUGGACCCUAAUCCAAAUGUGUUUGGUGCACUAUAACAUGUGAGGAACGAAGGAGAUUUGCUGUCAAAGUUCCUUCCCUUAUAUUAAAUAGUUUUGACUCAUACAAUAUACUCUGCUUAACUGGCUUUCGCUGUUAUCUUCUUCAUCCUCUUACUCCCUCAUAAUAUGAAAGAAUCUAAUGCAAUUUCCUGUACUAUUCGGAGUCUCGAUGGCGCCAUUAUUAUCUUAAGCCUCCUCUCCUCUGAUCACCAAAUUGCAUGUUGGUUUUAGUGGAUUAGGAAUCAUGAAGAACAUUACACAGCAUUAAGAGGUGUCAAUUGGCUUUCGAUAAAAAAGAACACAUAAAGUUAUUGGAGUUAUACGGUCGUUGACUGUAAGCAGUAAUCCAGCUAAGAACACCAUGACUUGAACAGUAUAUUGUGUGAUGAACAAAGAAUAAAAACACUGCAUGUGUGCUGUAGCUGUUCAAUUUAUUGAUUCCAUUAAAUAAGCACAGUCGGAGCCCUGUAAACUUUUUUUUUAAAAAAAAAGAAUAAAAAGGCCAACCACUAUAAAAAGUAAAUAGCGCAAAACAAACUUCAAUCAUGCAAAGCCAGUUCAUCCUCUCAUAAUUUUUGUUGACAAUAACAUGCUACUAAAAUAGUUGUGUUGGAAUUUUUUUCUGGAAAAACAAAAAAAAAUUCACCACGUAACAUCGCAAAACAUACACCAGAACCUCAAACCCAUACAAAGUACCAUAAUUUUCUGGAGACAAGAUUACAACAUAAUGAUGGAAACUGGAGAGAUUUACGAUACAAAGAAAGAUGUCGAUACCAAGUGUAUUCUGCAUCAUAGGCAAACUCACCGUUCCACUUAAGUGUUAACGGAAAAGAUUGUUAUUAGAAGUUUGUUAUUUUUAUUGUAAGUCAACAAAUAAGAGUGAAAACACCAAUGCUGUGAUCCACAUAUUCAUACCAAUGAUCUUAAUUUUGCAACGGAAGUUUCAAUUAAUGGCAUAUAUUAGUACUCAAAAGUCGAGAAAAUUGCAUCCAGAGUCCUUAAAGGUUGAUAAGAAAAGAUCGGAGAUGAAUCUCUCUUUGUCAACUCAUGUACAACCAACAAUUCCGUACAGGUCCACCUCAUGUUCUUCAAAACGGAAUAAAUAUGAUGCAAGCAAGGCUGGUGCUGAAUAAUCUUAUGCACUAGCAACUUGAGUGGCAGCGACUGGGGUGUCUGAGUGUGAACCCCAUUCGGUCCACGAUCCAUCGUAGACUGCAACAUCAGUUUUCCCAAGCCGAUGGAGGCCCUGAAAUAAAAUGGAAUAUGUUAGUUGUGAAACCCGAGAUAAUCCUAUAUAUAAGAUAUAAUAUGGCUAAAACUUUAUACUUGGCUAUAGCAUUUUGGACGGUGGGUAAGCCUAAGAGGUUAAGAGAGUUAAGUGUAUUAGGACUAGAGUAGUUCUAGAAUGUGUGAUCCCCUAGGAAGUGGGGCAUCACAUUAGUCCCGAUUAAAACAAUGAUUAUUGUUACUUCACUUAGUUACAGCUAAUUAUCAGCCUCUAUACGAAGAAAGUAAAAAUGCAGCUAAAGACCCCCGCAGCUGUAGACCGUUAUGAAAUGACCCCCUGAACAUUAUAGUUUGCUGAUUGGCAACCCACAACGUCAGGAUUCAGAAAAAAAGGCAUUUUAGGGAUUGAAAAAAUUAGCUCGAAGUUGCGAAGAUACAAAAAAGAGGUUCUAAAUUGUGAAAAUGAAAAUAUGCAACUACACAGAGCGAGUAUGCAAAACGACCAAACAUUUUCUCAUUGUUCAGUUACUACAGCACAUACCAAAGCAAGUAUGCAAGCAGUCACGCCAGUACCACAAGAGGUAACUACAGGACUAUCAAGAGAGAUACCUGAAACAAGUUGACAAGCCAGAGUGAGAUAUUCGACAUAAUGCAAAAUAUUAGUCUAAUAUUCUUGUUCAACAUCCAGUGCAACAACUGAUACAAAAAUUGUUAAUGACACAAAGCCAUAAUUUUUUAAUAUUCAAGAAACUAUCCAAAGUUUUAUGGCAGAGUCAUUGCAGUGAAAUGACCAGUUCCCUUAUUAUUUGCAGCAAAGACUGUCUGACUUGGUACAAAUGACCAUUAUAGAUAUAAGAUUAUCCUCUAUGAAAGAUGUAUGACGUGUGAAUAAUGAAUUCCUUGCAUGAUAUGCAAUUUUACUAACGAACCUGUGUGCCAUUAUAUUUCAGUGUAAGCUAACAUCACGUCUAGAAUAUCAUUCAUGUAUAUAGAUAUAUAUAAGAUACGUGAUACGAUGUUCCAUUGUUAAUAUAUGAUAAGGUGUUCCAUUAUUAUAAGGCUUAAUAAUUAUAGCUCGUGAGUUAUUUUGGCCUUUCUUAAAAUCAUCAGAAUUUUCCAGAGAACUGAAAGCCACGAAAACGACCAAAAACUCUAGGAGACUAGCAGUGAAUUUUUUAACCUUGAAAAAUACUGCAUACGAGUCACAAUGAGCAAGAAAGAUACAUUUUGAUAGUACUAAAUAAAUUCCCACCUUCUUGCUCAAACCUUUUUCUAAGUUCGCUUGGAGGCAAUAACAUCUGCGAACUAUCCAGCAUCUGCAGAAAGUUAACAUACGUUUAAGUAGAAAAAACAAAUAUGAAAAUAAAAAACAAUACGAGCGAGUUCAGAACUUUUCAGCCAUCAAAAGGACCUCAUAUAUCAAAAAAGCAAAUCAGAUGCCAGGCUAUUAGCCAUUUGGAGGGAUAAUAAAUGUAGACAAAUACACCGAUGGCACAUAAAGGUUGACACUACGAUAGAGAGUAGAAGGCAGAAAUUCAACUAGAUUUUAACUGUAUGAAAACAUCCAGUUUCUCUUCUAUGCAUGUCAUAAGUUACAAGCUUCUUCUAAUCCAUGCAUUCAUAGACUUUCUUUACACACUGCUUUGAUGCACCAAAAUUACAAUAAGUCAAUUUAAAGCAGUGCGGCUAAUACUCCGACAGGUAUCUUAUAGAUAUUCUAAAGGAUACCGCAUAUGUAUACACACACAACUCGAAAGAUAUGAAAAAUAAUAAUAAAGAAAUGAAACAAAAUAUAUAACCACAUAAAUAUAAUCAGAUACCAAAAUUAGGAAAUUGACUGUAAAUUUCUACCUGAGCAAACGGAAUACAUUUACUCCCCGGCACAUGACCACCUCGUAUUCCCUUUCUUGGCUCUGGAGCCACACCGUCAAACCUGAAUACAACCAAACCAUUCACUAGUUACAUGCAAGUUCCUUACAAAAAUAUUCUGCUUUUCUGACAAAUAAAGAUAUCAAUAACUUACCUAGCUUUUGACCUAGCAUCUAUAUGCUGAUGUGUCUGGAGAUCAAUAUUCUGUUUAACCUGAAUGCAAAGAAAAAUCACUUUUGUUAUUUAAGUCAAAUAAUGUUUACUCUCCAAGCAUAGAUUUGAUAUAAUCAAAGACAGAUAUCACAGAGUGGGACCAGAUUUUCUCCAAGGCAAAGAACAUAAAACCAAGAAAUUAAUGAUGUUAGGAAGAGAGAGACAGAGAGACAUCGCAGAGAAAUGUCCCAACCUGUUCAAGUGUCCACAAAAGAUGAGGUUGCAACUUUGCCUCAAAAGUGGACGGGCCAACCUGCAAAAAGAACUUAACUCUAUAAGGAGCGACAAAACAUAAAGCUAACAUCAUCCACUGCUUCAAUCCAAAAACAAAGGUAACAUCAUCCAUUUCUACGAUCCAAAAACAAUAAUGCAAUAUAGAUACAUAGUUCAAACUGGAGUCAUAUGAAAAAUGAUUGCUACAACAAUUAACAUCAGCAAAAUGGCUAAGAAGACCGAAUCCACAAAUUCUGCAUGCGGGCGGGUGCGUGCGCAUGUGAAUUUUUCAAGCUUCUAGUGAAAAUUCAAUACUCUAGUAUUUCUCAAUUUCUGUCAAUUUGUUAUGAUACUAAAAUAUCAUUUUGUGCAAGAAGACAAAUGGCAUGCCUAAUAACUGGACCCAUGUGGGACCUCUAAAGCAGAUAAAAAGCUCUUGGAACUGAUUCAAGGGAAUGUAUGUUUAUAGGAAAAUCAGACUAUUUAGAGUGGGGAAAGUUUUUAAGGCGGAGAAAAUGAUAUAGACAAUUGACCUACUCACAAAUUGACACCUCUAGUAGACUGUAAAACAUCAGCAAGCAAUAAGCAUGUGCAGAAAAUAGGAAUGCAUGUUACAACAGAACUCGUGAACAAAUAAAGAGAUCUGCCUAGAUAAGAUAAAUUAAUUCGCAUUGUUUCAAAUAACAUACUGGUUGUCCUUGGUAAACUUUCUCAAUUGCUUCGCUAGCAGCACUGGCCUUCAAAAUUGCAUCACCAGAGGCACUAGAUUCAACAUCAUAUCCAGAAGCACGCCACUGUGGCAAACCUCCAUCCAACACCCAAACCUUAUCGUGUCCAAAGACUCGAAACAUCCUAUCAUUUAUUCCCCACAAAAAAAAAAAAAAGACUUAGCGAUCAUCUCAUGAAAAGAAUAACAAGAUAAAACCUAUUUUUCCAUGUAGAUAGCAUGCAGAAAUCAUAGCUUAAUUCAUAAAUUUUCAAGCACUUAAAUUUUUUCUAUUCAAAGCAUUAUUGGCAGUCUCCUACUUAUGAGUUCUGGAACAAUAUAAAGUGAUUAGGUGAAAAAUCAUAUAGAGUUAUUUCCCAAAUAAAUUUAUGAACUACGAAGACGUAAGAUGUAAUGCAUUUAAAAAGUGAUAAAUAUUCCAAUGAAGUUUUUGUAUUCGGUAAAGCUUCUCAGAAGAACAUGAGGAGUUCAAUAAGAAAAACUUCAGUUUUAGCAUCAAAUAUGAUAAUCCUGAGCAUCUGAUACAAUCUAAACUAAUUGCAUAAAGCUUAUCAGUUUCCAAGUAACACCUAUCGUUAGUUAGAUAUAACAGCUAUCAUUGGAGGAAAAUGUUUACCACCAUACACGAGCUGCACUGAAUAUCCCCUUUCCAUCAUAAACAAUUACCCCAUCCUUAUUAUAGAUACCAAGAGCAGAAACAGCAGCAGCAAAAGCUUCUUCUGACGGCAGCAUGUGAGGCAACUGUUUCAAAGACUUGCAAAAGUUAGUAGCCAUGCUCUAGAUAAAACUUCCUAGAAACAGAAAAAAACUGAGAUAACGAAAAAAAGAGAGCUAAAAUAUUUAACAGUAUCAACAGAGUCGUCACUAUGUUUUGUAAUGUCAAUGACAAGAGCAAAAUGAUAAUUACAGCAGGUUUAUGAGCAGUAACAAAGUGAUGGAUAUGGUCGCAUUUUCAAGGCCAGUCCAGCAUUCCUCAUUUGUUGGGAUAGGAAGGAAGAAAUGGAAGUCAGUAAAUUUUCAUGUUACUUGUCCACGUAUAGGGCCAAAAGAAAGUAAUCAUUCAUUAAGACAAUUAAUAUGCUUAACAAUUUCAGAUCCAAAGAAGACAAAUAGAAACUAAACCAAAGGCAAGAAACAAUGGUUGUCGAGUUCAGGAAACCAGCAGAGUGCUCAUAGAUACUGUAUAUGAAUUUGUCUUAAUUACGCAACUAAAUCUUUUAGAUAGUUUAAGAGCUCGACACUACAUGCAAAUCUGGGUGAUGCCAAUCUGACAAAAAUAAAAGCUAAAGCACAAACAUUAGUCAGCCACAUCAUGAGAGAUGAGGUGUAAUGAAAAAUCUUAGAAGAGCCGAACUUACAUUAGUUGUUCUGUCCGAAAUUCCAUCAACAUCAAAGAACAAAGCACCCGGAAUGUGGGCCACCUGAUUGUAACAGAAAAAGGGCCAGUUAGUAACAUUAAAGAAUAGAAAUUUGUACCAUUUCGAAAAUUGUAAGCUAAGCCUAAAAGUUUACAUACACAAAGCAUUUGCAAACAUCCUUUGUACGCAAUCUAGAAGGCUAACUUUAGAUAUAUCUUUGACAUAUCCAUCCCGUAAGGGUGCAAAUCUCACCAAAGAAGCUUUUACCUGAUAUUCUUGAAGCGGAUUCCGCUGCUCAUCUGGCAUAUACCAAGACGCAUCCAACACCUUUGAGAGAAUAAAAGGCCCGACAUUAAGAAAUUUAGAGAAAAAACAAAAAUUACUUAAUAUCUCCAUAGUUUAAUAAUUAAGAUCAUCAGGUUCACAGAUUGGUUAAAAAAUAUCUCAAGCAUGAUAAGCGCAUUAACUACAGUUUUGACCACAUUAGAACCAUAAGGCCUGCAAGCUUAAAGAAUGUUAUUGCAAAAGAAUGAUUGCUAUAACGGUCACAUCUUCUAACAACAAAAUUUCGUUCACACUUCACAUGAAUUUACUACCCACAAUAUCUGUAUAAUAAAACACAAGAUUAAAGUUAUAACCAGAGCACUUCACGAAAGAAAUAUCUGUUGAAAGAUAUUACCUAGUAGCAGAUUACAGCAUAAUUAGCUAAUAAUAUACAAAUCGAAAGUGGAAAUAUAAGUAUACCUUUACAUCUGGCUCUUUGAGAUUGGCAUGAAGCCAUUCAGCAGAAACAACAGGUUCAUUAUGCGGCACGGAAUGAAUCGCCAAUGUACUCAGUCUCAUGCUAGAUGAAGCGGUUACAUUGCAUCGAGCAAAACCGAAAGAUGGGGGAACAAAAGAUAAACCGUGCGCACGGACAUAAGGCGCUUUAUUCUGCAGAUAAGAAUUAUAAAGAUACAAGAACAUCAGCUAGACAUAUUAGCAAAGAAUAUUUGCAUGAUAAAUAAAAGCAUGAAAAAAUCCGAAAGACAAAAUAUAUCUUUUGAAUGCAUAUACAUAUCCCUGCAAAGUAGUGACAUUGUAGCUUUAUCCCUCAAAAGUUUUUAUAAUCAAAUAUAUGCAUCUUUGCAAAUAUUUCCCUCCCGUACUUCAUCAGUUUAAGUUGACUUCUAUAAAAAUGAGCAUUCUAAUUCUGAAUUAAUAUCUUAUAAGUACUAAUGAAGUCGUUUUUCAUUCUAAUUAACUCUGCUGUAACUCUCACACAAUUCCACAUAAUCCCUAAAUCCUAAACCCUCAACAAAUCGUAAAAAAAAAUGUUUUGUUUUUUUUUUUUUUUAAAAGGCACAACCUUGGCAGGGCAAAGUUGCAUAUCUUGGAGAUGAUUAAACUUUGCAUGAAUAAAUUCGCAGUUUCGAAACUUUAUGCGAACCCACGUGCAAUUACCCAAGAAAUCAAACUCUAAAAAGCCUAAAACCCAAAAUCGCCCAUGAAAACUAAUCAAGCCACACAAAAAACCACAUCAAGAACACGAAUUCACAACAGUUGCGAUAUGAGCAGAGACCGGCGGGAUCAGAAACCCCAAAACAAGGAGGAGAUGUGAUGCGUAACGAAGCAAGGGAAGGAGAGUUUCCUUUGCGAAGUGGCCGCAGAACCUCGUCGCCUCGCGCGAAGGGCGAAUCGAGGGCCGGAUCGAGCGGAGCCCCCCCGCGAUGGCGCGGCUCACGAGGGCGGAGGCCAUUGUUGAAGAGGUGGCAGGAGACGAUGACGAUGACGAUGACGAUGAUGAUGAUGAUGACGGGGGAGACGAUGCUGGUGCCGCGAAGCUUAUAAGAGAGUAGAGGAGGAGGACGACGAGGAGGAGUCGACCAUCGCCGCUCACUAAACCCCCGGCUUUUCUUCUUUGUCGCCCCACUGGUUUUCUUUUUCUUUUCUUUUUUUUUUUCUUUUUCCUUCUAAAUUAUUCCAAAACCCUCUUUUAAUUUCCCCAUAUUAUUACGGUGGGUAGGAUUUGUACGUCGUUUUGGACUAGCCUUUGUAUACUCACAUAUGGAACCUUUCAUUUAUCAGUUUUAUAAUAUAUCUAUUUAUAGAAAAUUAUUUCAUUAAUUUAUAAUUUUUUAUAUAAACGAACUCUAAAAGUAUAUAUAUUACUAAAAUUCAUUAAUAAAAUUUUCCAAAUUUAAUGGCUACUAAUUGAAUUAUUAAAUCUAACAAAAUUUCCAUCUCCAAUUUUUACAAGCAAACUCGCGUCCUGUUACAUUACAAAACCACGGUACGAGGCCCGGGUUCCGCACCAGGUUCUAGUACGAACACUCACUCGUCAGUACCUGCUUCAAAAACAAAUGGAAACUCAUUACUACCAUAAGAAAUGAGACAAAGCUUUGACCUUUAACAGCUUCCUACUGCGAGUAAAAAGAUAGAAGUUCGUUGCAUUACAGCUUCUCGCUCCUCGCUGCAGCAAAAGUUUUAGACUUUCGAGCUCUCAAACACGCGAACACUGCUUUUUGGGGUGGAGCAGAAAAUUUUAUCCUCUCUUAUAAACAAAUCACAAUUCCGGACUUACUGCCAACCUCUACAGCACUGCAACCUGGUGAUUUCCUUAGACCUCUCUCCUUCGCCACACCCAUAACAUCUUUCACAUUCUCCCACUUCUCAUCAAGUGCAUAGAUAUAAGAUAACAAACUAUAAUACCCACUGUGGUCAGGAUUCAGCUUAAACAAUUUACUCGCGACCAACUCGCCGAUCUCGGUGUUGUGGUGCAUUCUACAGGCCGCAAGCAAAGCGCACCAAAUAUGCGGGCCGACUGGACAGUUCAUGCCUUCGAUUAUCGUCAUCGCCUCUCGUAGCUCUCCAGCUCGGCCAAGGAGAUCAACCAUAAUGCCACAGUGAUCUGAAUUGGGCCGGACGCCAUAGACCCCGCUCAUGCUUUCGAAGAUCUUCUUUCCUUCUUCGACUGAACCUGCAUGGCUACAUGCUGACAAGACCGAGACGAAUGUUACGCUAUUGGGUUCGAUUGAUGAUUGGAUCAUGCGAUCGAAGGUUGCGACUGCCUGAUUUCCAAGGCCGUGGAUUCCGUAACCUGCGAUCAUCGAACUCCACAAUACCACAUCUUUGUCGCGCAUUGUUUCGAACACUUGAACUGCGCCUUCCAGGCUUCCAGAUUUCGAAUACAAAUCGAUGAGCGCAGCCCUCACAAACACUUUAGAAUCGAAACCGGACGUGACUAAGUAGCCGUGGAAGCAAAGGGCUUGGCGAAGGAUAGCUAAUUGCGAGCACGAAUUGAGAACUUUUACUAUUACGACUGCGUCGGGAUUGAAUCUAUCGGAGAGCAUGCUUUGAAAUAGCUUCAAUGAAUCACUAGGCAUACCAUUUUGGGAAAGACCGCCAAUGACUGCAGCCCACGAGACGGCAUCCUUUUCCGGCAUUCGGCGGAAGAGAUCCAUCGCCUCAUUGCAGCACGAACACUUCAUAUACAUAUCGAUAAGAGCAGUGGAAACUGAUGUUUCCAGUUCGAAACCUUUUCGAACAGCAACCUCGUGCACCCUCCUACCUUCAUUUAGAUCGCAAGCAAUUGCGCACGCCUGAAGAACGCUAACCACAGUGACCAAACUGGGCUCCAAUCCUGCUUCAACCAUCAUCUUAUACACUUUAAGAGCUUCCGAAGGAUCUCCAUGUUGAGCAUAACAUGAAAUCAUGCAACUCCAAGUGAUGACGUCUCUCUUAGACAUCGUACCGAACAGCCUCUGCGCAAUUCCAACUGCACCCAACUUCACGUACAAAUUUAGAACAGAAUUAGCCAGUGAGAGAUCGCCGCCGAAGCCCAUCUUAAUCACAAACCCAUGGCAUGAUUUCCCCGACCGAAUAUCCCCCAACUGCGCGAGAGCCGAUGCUACACUAACAAGCGUCACCGGAUCCGGAACCACGCGUUCCCCGACUAUGGCGCGCGAAAAGAACGAGACGGCUUCUUCAGCGCAACCAUUCUGCUGGUACCCAGAAACCACUGAAGUCCGAAGCACGACAUCCGGUUCGGGAAAAUCGUCGAACACCUUGAGAGCACUACCCAUGUCCCCGCACCUAGAGUACAUCUCAACGAGCGCCGCGCCCACGAACACAUCGGAAUCGGCGAUAAGGGCCCUCACCGCCGCGGCGUGCACGGCUUUGCCGUGGACCCGCGCGGCGAGGGCGCCGCAAGCUUUGAGAGCGAGGGGCAGCGUGAAAGCAUCGAAAGGGAGGGACUCGGCCAUGCGGCGGAAGAGGCGGAGGGUUUGGGGCCAUCGGCGGGCGCGGGAGUGGGCGCGGAGGAGGGCGUUGUAGAGGAAGGUGUUUGGGUGUGGGAUAUCGUCGAACACCUUGUGGGCGGCUGCGGCGGAGGAGACGCGGGCGUAGGAGGCGGUGAGGAGGGUGGCGAAGAAGCAGUCCGGGGCGGCGACGAGGCCGCUGCGGAGGAGGAGGGAGUGGAGUUGGGAUGCGGAGGCGACGUCGCCGCACGAUUUUACAAGUUUGGAUAGCGAUUCUCGGCUCCUCAUACAUGGAGGAGUCUCAGCUAUACAUUGUCCUCGCGUUUAGAAUAGAGUUUAAGAAGAAAGUGAAAAAUGUGUGGAGACCCCCUUAAGUACAUUCGAUUCUGAACAUGCCCCAAAUUUUUUAAAAAUUUAUUUAAUAAUUUUACUGAAAUAAAUUAAAAGAAUUUUAUCAAAUUUGAUAGUUUGCAUUCAUUUUAAAAAAAAUAAUUUGUUGAGGGGAUGUCACAACCAAAUGAUAGUAACAGAGGAUCUUUUCCUUCAUAAAAAGAAGAAAAAAAAGGAAUGCAAAUUGAAUAGAAAUACAUCAGGGCCAGCAUAUUGUGUGCCAGUUGAAAAUUUUACUGCCUUAUAAACCUUUUGACAUCAGAUAUGUAGUACUAUUCAAUAAAGAAAAAAAAUUACAGAGAUACAGAGGCAAAAAAGUACGCAGAUAAUGAGUUUAAAUCAUGCUUCUGAGCUCUGAGCUUCAAAGUUACUCGAGAACGCUUUACAUCGCGCAGACGAAGGGAUUACCAAGGAAUUUCCUGACCGUCCCAAGCGAAGAACUUCCCAUUAUCGCUGCUCUUAACAUUAUCGAUGAUAUUCAGAAGCUUUUGCACGGCGAAUCCUUUGGUGAAAAGCUUACCCUCCGGUACGUUUCGCUGGAACGGUCGUGAAAGGUCGGUGUCGACAGUUCCCGGAUGCAAUAGAAUGCAAACAAUUGGAUCCUUCUUCCGAGAAAACUCCACAGAUACAGUUUUCGUCACUGCAGAUAUAAAUAGAUGAUUCUGUAAAUUGGACUAAUCUAUGCAAUUAUUGACAUUGGCACUGAUCAUUAUCAUCCAAACCAGUGAGGCAAAGAACACUAUUCCCAAUUCUUGGUUUUGAGGCCAUAUAUUUCCAAUCAUAGUACCCUCCUACAAUACCGAUACUCUCGCACUUGAAAUUCCGAAAAUUCUUCAGUUAGUAAUUUUAGAAAUGAGUUAGGAAAUAUCAAACAUAAGUCGCAAGUACGAAGCUAAGUGUAAUGUACGUAGAAUCAUGCUAACAACUAACACUGCUGCUGAUAAAAUACGUCAGAGAAUGAAAAGAGAAAGCGAGUUAAAUUGCAUACACUGAUUUAGCGCCGCUUUUGAAGCUCUAUAGGAAUGCCAUCCCCCCAAACCGUUGUCGCCGAUGGAACCCACUCUAGCGCUUAAGUUUGCGACCACGGCGAAUUCUCUCUCUGUUCCAGAGCCUCCACCCAUCUUCAGUAACGGCCACAUGUGCUAUUUAACAUCUCUUCUCAUAUCAAUCUCAAGCUGCACUUUUUUCAUAAGCAGAAGCUGAAAGAAAUUAGUGAGAAUACACUCUACCUUAAUCACUAAGAUGGGGCCGACGGCAUUAACUUCGUAAGUUAGCAGCAAAGACGACUUCUGCACUUUGCUCAGUGUUGUUUCUGAAACCAUCAUUAAUUCAAAAAAAAGGUUUCAGCGAACACAAUCGUGAAUUCGCCUAGGAAUCAGAUAAAUACGAAGCAUUGAGUUAGAUCCAUCCGCGAACCUGGUUGGAGUACAUUAGGUAUCGAAAGAAUUCCCGAAGUAUUAACGAGUAGGUUAAGCGAUCCGUAUGUUUCACUAACAGCGCUUGCUGCCGCCUGCCACGACAUACCGUUUUCAGAAAAGUAAAGCUGUCUCUUAAGAAUAAAAACUUAGAAAUGUUAUAAAUAUCUAUCCAUAUUAAAAAAGAAAAGAGAAACAUCCGCACUUUCAAUUGCAAUUGCAAAUAAUGAAGCGAGAAUAUGUCUCUGAUGAAAUGAUGAAACAUAUACCUCUAUGGUGGUUUCAUUCGUCACGUCCAGCGGGAGUAUGUUAAGGCGAUUUUCGUAUUCUUUUUUCAGUUUUAGAAGAUCGGCUGCGCCGUCGGGGUUCCGACAUGUCGCGACGACGCGCCCCUCUUCACUCCUCUUCAACAAUUGCCUCACCUAUCAUGCAUACACCAUGCACUACAAAGUUUGAGAAUGCGAAUGCGCCGAAGUUCACACUCAUUUAUCUAAAUACUAUGUUACAAAGUUUGUGAUGCUCUAUUUUUUGGCCAUAUGAACUGAGAAUUUUGUUAACAAUUAACUGCUCAUACUUGUUGUUUGAUUUUAACAAAAAAUACACUGUAUCAUUAGCUAAGAAGUGGAGAAACCCAACAAACUUAAUAAAAUCAUCAUUCAAUCUAAGCAAAUUCCCAAUUCAUUUGAUAACAACGGCUCAAAUCAAAAAAUUAACAUAAUUCGAGAGAGCGUUUGUUUAAAUAAAAAUAAUAAUAAUAAUAAUAAAUAAGUUAAGAAAGCAAAACUAUCUGUCUCAAAAUUGCUCGGAGUUGAGGGAAAUUUCAUACAUUUUAACACCAAAUUUUAAAUAAAUAAUAGAAAAAAACAGAGACAAAAAAGUGGGGGGGGAGGGGGAAUUAAUAAAGUAUACGGACGAAUUCGAGGCCGAUUCCUCGAGAAGCGCCCUGCACCAUCGAAACGCCGCCUUGGAAUCGCGUCGCGGCCGCAGCCGCAGCCGCGGUGGAGAACGCGGCUUUUCGAAACGACGACGAUCGCAUCGCGAGCCGCGGUGGCGCCACCACAAGCUUCAGCAUGGGCUUUUUUAUUUUGUUGAGUAUAAUAAAUAAUAUACCGGUUUGGGCCAAGCCUUUUUACUUUUUCUCUCUCUUUUUCUCUUUUAUUUAUAAUUUAUUUAUUUUUUUCUCACAACACUUUAAUGCGAUGGUUAAAUAAAAAAAAAAAGAAAAACUUAUCUCCCAAUAUGCACUUAAUUUUUAAAAAUAAAACCUCUCUACAAACCUACUAAUCAUUUUUUUGUCUACGGGCCUUCAUUCUAAUUUCAUCAAAUAUUUAUUUUUAACGUCAAAAUUAAUUUUACCCAAAUUGUCUUUAUGCUUCUCCAAUUUCUUUCAUAUUCGAAAUAUCAUGAGAGAGAAAAGAGAAAGAUAAAAUAAAAAAUAUAUAUUGGCCAUUUUAUUAAUUAAUUUUAUUAAUUAUGUUUUUGAUCUUCCGGAGGAGUUAAUAUACCCCUCCAACGAAGUUCAUUAAAUUAUAAAAUCCACAAAUCAAUAUAAUAAUAAUAAUAGAUUCAUGCACUUGUACGUACGUGUACCGCUUCUUCGUUUGGCACCAGAGAGUAGCACGUUUCCACAAUCUCAACCACUACUUUUGCACAUAAAAAUGCACGACAUGCACUUCACAUGAAGCAAAGAAACUGGAGUAAUAAUAUGAACAAUUAAACCAAAGCCAAAGUUAAUUAAUGACCUUGGUUUUAUUACAUAACAUUAGGUUAAUGGACAGUGACCACACGCCAUGCAACGCAUGCAUACCAUACUUAACCAUCAAAAUUCAUUGUGAACUCUUCAUAAGCGCGACUAAAUCAGUACGCAUAAAGCUUUGCUAACUCCUGCAGCGCACCGUCGUCGGCGUCGACCUCCGGGUCCGCGUUCUCCAGCAUCCACAGGAGGUGAUCAAACAAAACGACCUCGCACUUCACCGAUAUUCCAUCCUCCGUGUUCCCCUCCGACCGAUCGAUCAGCGCAUCCAGCAGUGGGUGAUUCAAGUGCUUCGAUCGUAUGACGUAUCGGCGUCUCGAGCUCCCCACGAACACGACGGCUUCACGAUCUUCAUCUUCGUCGUUCAUCAUCGCGGUCGCGUCCCAGAAAUCCUCGUCUCUAGCGGAUUGCGACCGUAAGCUGCUGUAGGAAGAGGAUCUCCCCAGCUUUGAGAGGCUCCUGCACUUCCUAAGUAUCACACUUAUCUUCUUCAUCUCCUAAGAUAAAGAGAGGAGGAGAGGGGGGAGGAGAGGGGGACGAGGGAUAUACAAGCUAGUGACAUGAGCUAGCGUAACUUAAUGUACACUCGAACUAGCUAGUUAGUAUGAUUGUCAAAUGAAUAUUUGUAAUAUGGUAGGUGCGAUAUCGCUAUAGGCAGAUAACUAAGAAGGGCAUUGGUCCCGUUCCUACGACCUAACGAAGCUAACCCAACCAAUAUGGGUCCUAAGCCCGUCAUUAAUGUUAGGUCCCAACUAUACAAAAUUACGCAAGGCUUAAAUUAACUAAAGUGUGCACUAAUUAGAUAUAUGUAGCUAAGAAUAUAGCUGUAAAAUGAACAACUUCUACUAGUUAUAUAUUUAACUCGUACUUUACUACAAGCAACCGUGGUCAAAUUAUCCAAACACAUGCCUCGAGCACGGCUUUCACUCAGAUUAUUAAGCAACUAUUUGUUAUAUUCUGACUUAAUCUGGUAAAUUAGAUCCAUGCAAUCGUGAUUAAGGUUGUGUUUUUAACCACAAAUUCAACUUUAAAGCUUAACCUCCAUAAGCAAUUUAUACUCAGCUCAGGCUCUCGUGUCCACAGCAUGGUUCCGGAAGCUUCCGUCUGAGUCCAAAUAUGUCACCAAAUGAUAAGUGGUCCAGGUUAAUUUGACAGAGGGCAAAGAGGAGAACCACAACCAAUUUGGUCCCAACCAGACACUCUGGGCCCAGUUGGAGAGACGGUCCAUGUUUCCUCGUACUUGGCGUGGUGGGCCCCAUGACCGCAUGUAUGUCUAGUUUCGUGAAAAAGUUCUAUAUUAUAAUACUUAAAUCACAUCAUCUAUCCACAGCCAAUCACAUCUCUCCUUUUGAAAGUAAAAUACAACAAAAGUAUUUCUCUAAUAAGCAUGAUAAAAUGGAUCUGAUUGGUUGCGAAUACCACAUCAACAAUAUAAGUGAUGCAUUUUCCACGAUGCAGUUGUGGGGGAUGGGCGCGUGGCGCCCACUUCAAAAGGUUUGCCUCGCUCGGUUUGGGCUGGUGGUUGAUAGGUCAGGCUCGGACCCGACCUCGAGUUUGGAAGGUAGCUGCAACCGCCCACAUGGACAUGAGGAAACAGUCCAUGGGCUGGGCUGUCGCCUCCACGCUCCAAAGUGGGCCCCUGCUCUCCAUAUUGACCGCCCAUUUUUACACAUGAAUUUACUUGGGGUUCUAAAAGGUUUGUUAUGUAAAGCUUGAAUUAAACUUGCAGUACAACCACCGAUUACAAGGGGCCUUUUCGGUGAUUGGAAGUGCAAUACGAGAUUUAACAGCAAUAUAUCUUCUUAUAUUAAAAUCCGACUCAUAAGCUACAGUUUGGUAGCGUUACUCCCGCAAUAAUGCUUCAGAACUUAAAAAUGAAUAGACAACGAUUUUAAAUAAAAAAUGUUAUUUGACUUUAACGAAUUACCAGUUGAUACCGACAUAGCCUAAAAUGGAUUUUCAGAUGCUUCAAUACCCCAAUCGGACAUAAGACCGACAAGCAACUGAUUUGGUAUAGCAACUUUCUGCCUGAUCAAGACCAAUCUGCCAGAAAACCCAACAAGUUGAAAAAAAAAAAAAAAAUGCAGCACCAAAGUAGGUCGACUACUUUUCAGGAAAAGAUUUUUUUUUUUUAAAAAAAGGAAAGGAAAAGGACCACUUUUAUAACCACCAGAUCAGGCAUGGUUCCAUCAACAUGAAUCUAAUUAUAAUCAACAGGUUCUAAGGGCCCAAAAAGUGAAAUUUAACAGGGUGCAACAACUGAUUGCCAACAAGGUUGCUUCAGAAAUCGAAAGUAAUACAGCUUCCUCUGAAAGCUCCAUUAUUAUCCACUAUGUAAUUAAUGGCGGCUUAAGUCCAAGCUUAACUCCGAAGAAAGAGCAUAAUAACUCACUAAAAGAGUAUAGAUUAGCCCUGAAGCAACAGCAACCGCCAAUGUUAUUAUUUAAGCCAAUGUUUUAAGAUACAGUAUUGUGUGUCCCGUAAGCUACCGAUUAAGGCACAAAGAGUUUGUAGCUAUUCAUCUUAUCUAUUUCACGAAUACAACACCACAGUAUAAGUAUUGUCCUUCCUCUUGUCAAAAACAAGUGUUCAACUUGUCUCGCAUAGCACAUCACUCUAUGGUUUAUGAAUCAUGCGGGCGACCAUGUGGGAAUUCACACAAGAUUGCCUGAAGAACAAAUGAGCAAAUGUUACUUACUGAAGGUAUUAUCAGACGUUGAAACGGAAGAGCAUGACAUCUCCCUCCUGUACAACGUAAUCUUUUCCCUCCGAUCGCAACUGCAUUUAGAAGAAUUUAUUCAUUAAUGAAAUUAUUCUGCCUAUGUAACUUGUCUCAUAAGUAACUAAUAGUUGGAUUUAUUGGAAAGAGCAAUCUUACUAGCCCUUUUUCCCUUGCUGCUGCAAGAGAACCAGCUGCCACAAAAUCAUCAUAGGAUACCUGCCAGGUUAUUGUCACUUUCGAUCAGCUAAGAACCUAAUAGAAUGCACUUCUGGAACCAAAAGCAGUUCCUACUUGAAGCAUACUACUUCUGCUCCACAAAGAAGCUGUUGAAGGAAUUUUACGUAAAAGCAGUCUGUGCUUCUCCAAACAGCUGGAGCCAAAAAGCGCUGCUUCAGAAGCCCCAAAUCAGAGCUGCUGCUUUUGAAGUCCCAAAACUCAUUAAAGCAUUCAACAAAAACAGAAGCUACAGAAUUUUCUGUUUGCCAAACAGUGGCUCUUAUCCAUCAUAGAAGUAGUUCUAAAUAAAUGCUCACAGAGCAUGAUUGCCUUUUGCAUAUUCAAAGUUCCAAUCAAACCAAAAACCCUUGUCUUCCAAGCCAAAACAGAUUGAUGUAAAUGUUCUCUUAAAACAAACUAGCAUGCUUUGCUUUGCUAAAGCUGUUGCUUAUUCAUUGCCAACCUAAAUUAGCAAAACCAGGGGCGCAUCAGCAUCAUUUAAUUGCACUGCUUAUUAACUUAAAAUCAAAUUUUCUCACAUGUAGCGCUUCAGCAGCCCCAAGUAGCAAAAAUCCAACAUAUCAAGAAACCUGAUACUUACAGUCUCUGCUCGAAUGAAGCCUUUCUCAAAGUCCGAAUGAAUAACUCCUGCAGCUUGAGGUGCCGUCAUACCUAGUAGUAAAAAAUUAUUAGUUACAAAUUGACUGCAUUUAAUAGGAAGAAAUAGUCGGUAAGUGGGGAAAGAAAACCAACCAGCAAGUAUCGUCCAAGCUUUUGUUUCCUGAAGGGAAGGUAGAACAGAAACAAAAAUGAGAUGAUACCUAAUUGUAGAUUUAUCAUCAUAUAGGAAUGGUAGUUUAGAAGCUCCACCUUUUCUCCUGAUGUAAAGUAAGUCCUCAAACCCAAAAGAUUAUACGUCGCUCUUAUAAGAUUGCCCAGUCCACUUUCAUCAACACCAAGAGACCUCAAGUACUCAAUUCUCUCAUUUAAGGGAAGUUCAGUCAGCUCUGCUUCAACCUGAUUCCCAAUUAGGAAAAAGAACUGACGAAAUAAGCACUAGAACAUCCCUUCUGAUUCUUAAUUGAUUCCAAAUACAAAAAACAAAGCUGAUUCCUUUUCCUGAACAGAAGCUUAGAUAUUACGCAUGGCUUACAGAGCAUGUUGACAAUUUCAUUAAGCGCAACAGAAAUUAAGAAGAAUUUUUGCAUGAAUCACAUUAUAAUUUCAGGAAGCUGCAAUGUAAUAUGAGUAACAGAUAUGCUAUCAUCAUAAGCUUCUUCAGAAAAAAUAAAAUAAAAUAAAAGGAUUCAAUAUUGCUUGUCAUUAUUAACAGUAAAUAUUAGUUUAAGGAUAUGAUUGUACAGAAAUUAGUAAAUUACUGCUCCAUAUGUAUCUGCUUUGCCUUUAAAUGCAGAUGUCCAACCAAAACUUCAGUUCACACCACCUUUAUAUUUAGCCUUUAGUUGCAGGUACAGAAACAGAGCAAUAUUUUUAGGUUGCAGGUAUGGAAACAGAGCAAUAUAAACUUAAAUACAUGUAAUGCUUAGGCAACUAUUGAUGGAACUCAUAUCUACAAAAAAAAAAAAAAAAAAAUCAAAAGGUGUCUCUAGGACAUUAGACUGACAUAUAGCAACAAAAUUAUAUGAUCUGGAUUCUGGACAUCACUUUGUGAUCAAAGGGACAUUUAGUCAAGAUUAUCAACAAAACCUGUGCUGAAAUUGUAACCACCCCAGAUUGCAACUCUGAUGCAAGAUUUUCCACAUCCUUGACGUGAAGAUUACUAGAAGGUUCCGCAAGGUCAGACUCAGCCACAUUAGCCACAUAUAUCACAGGUUUCAUUGUUAGUAAACAGAGAUGCCGUAUAGAUUCUUUCUCAAGAUCCGUCAAUGAAACAGAUCUUGCAGGUUUUCCAUCCACUAGGGCCUUCUGAAUUUUUUCAAGUGCUGACCUCUCAGCUUCCUCCUGAAAUUAUUGAUCUGACAAUUAUGAGAAAGCCCAGAAACACAAUGACUUGCACCGUAUCUCCAUAUUUUGUAUAGUUUACCUUUAGUUUUGACUGGGAGUCUUUUGCUUUUCCUUUUUUAAGUUUCUCUAACCUUUUCUCUAUCUGCACUUCUUAAUAAAGAUAUAUAUCAGUCAUAUCAGUAGAAGGAAUAUUUACAAGACUUCCAGCAUAGAAAACAAGAACUGUGACAAAAUGUCUUUGGUGGAAAUUACCUUCAUACCUGGUCAAGAUCAGAGAAAACCAGCUCUAAGUUGAUGACAUCAAUAUCUGACUUUGGAUCAACUUUCCCAUUCACAUGAACAACGUCAUUGUCCUCAAAGCAGCGCACUACCUGUUAAACCCAGUAACCACCAAAAACGUCUAAACUAAUUGUGAUAAACAUCCACAACUAGUUGAGUAUCAACAUCAUCUGCUUGUGACUGUAGAUAAAUGAAGGACGCUAAUAGCUAAAUUAUACUGGAUCUCGCAUUCACCAUGAAGAUAUGCCAAUAUAUAGUUUUUAAAACCUUACUAACAUAGAUAUAGGAAUAAAUAUCACCUUAUCUACUAAGUUUUUAUCAUCAUGAUUAUAAUUACCAAUAUCAAAUAAAUGUAGAUCACGAAUUUAACACAAAAUUUAGAUGCACAGUGCAAUGAAAAAGAAAGAACGAGCACAUUGCAAGGAAAAUAACCUGGAGUAUGGAAUCAACUUCACGGAUGUGUGAAAGAAAUUUAUUCCCUAAUCCCUGUAAGAUAGGCAUUCAAUCAGAAGAACACAAUAGAAAUAAGCAUACACAUGCUAAAGGAACCCUAAAAAUCACAAUAUAUCUAAAUACCGGUGAACAUACCAGGAUAAGAGAGUGAAAUCAACUAAUUUUCCAUUAUGACAUGAUUCACUAUACAGUUUCAUAAACUGGACUAGAUGAUCCAGUUAUCAAGUUACACUUGAGUCAACAAGCACUUCAUCUAUAUAAUAACACGCCAUGGUACACCAUACACCAAAAGCAUAACAAGCGAAAAAGGUAUUCCUGCCAGAAGCUCGAAUCCUUGAAAUUUGAAUACAGUAAGGGUGUAAGAUACACUACAUCAGUAUUAGAAGGUUAGAGGUCAACUGUAGGCCCUAUAUGAAGACAAACCACUCCAAUCAAGAAUAGCAUACUUCUACUGGGAAGGAUAAUUAAUUGUCAAUACGACAAGACACAUUGAUAAUGAUUAAAGUUAGCAUUAUGGGCCACUUUUGCAUUUCCUAUAUCUCAUCCUAGAAAAUCAGCUUAGUUAGGAUAGUUGCAUAUAAUGGCAUCAAUCAAAAUAAUAACACAAGAAAGUUUCAGUAUACAAAUUUACAGACCGUCCCUCUGAACAGACUCAUGCUGAAUAUAACUAUUUGUGGACCGAAAAGAGUGCACAAGCAGCAAGAUGAACAACCAUUGUUCUAGAUUUCUUUGUGGGAUUGCGAUAACCAACGUAGCAUUUCAAAAUAAAAAAGGUUUCUCCAAUACUUUACUAGCAAACUCGAUGCAUACAAAUGUACCUACAGAGGCCACAAACUGGACCUAUCCAUAGUACAGACUACAGAGUCUCCAUGUAUAUCCAAAAAUGCUGAAUAUGCAGGAUUGCAUCUUAAACCAGGAAAAACAUUAUACCUGUUAGAACUAAAACCGAGAAGAUCUAGUUCGUCGGAUGCGAAAAUACCAAAAGAGAUCCGAGAAAGAGAGAAGAAACAUAAAGCACAUAAUAUUUACGUGGUUCGGCCAACGGCCUACAUCCACGGGCGAAGACGGAGCGGAGAUCUUCAUUAUAAUCAAAGUGGUGUACAAAAUAUGCCUCUCUCACAAAACCCUAAUCCCAAAAAUACACCCAUAUUCCCUCUCUCAUCUUUCGCACUAAACUAAAGGAAUAAAGGGUAUAUUUAUAAUAGUGGUUAAAUCCUAAUACAACUAGGAAUACAAAUCCACUAAGAUUAGGAAUAUCUCAAUAAAUUAGGCAUAAUCUAAACUUAAUUUAAUGGGGUAAUUAAAACAGAAUAGGGUUAGAAAACCUUGCGGUACUAGAAUUCGAGACAUAUUUAACAAUACCUCUCCUUGACUGGCUCCUUUGACAAGGCCGGCGAUAUCAACGAACUCGAUCGAUGCUGGAGCAACUUUUUGCGAUUUACUCAGCUCUGCAAGCACAUUCAAACGCGGAUCCGGCACACCAACAAUGCCGACAUUUGGCUCUAUCGUACAGAAUGGAAAAUUGGCGGCCUGCGCUUUCCCAUUCUCAACCUAAAAACCAUGAAUUAUUAUAAAUAACAACAUAUCAUCAUAUCAUCCAUCGUACAAAAUCCAGCUCUCAGAGACAAAACAUCAAACAGAUCGUUGCGUACAAGUUAAAAUGUAAAAACUGACUUGCUCGCGAAAUAUAUCAAAAAAAUAAAAGUGGAGACGAGUUUAUCAACUAGGGUAUCGAUUUGAAUGACAACGAAGUGACGCUGCGAAGUGUGGCGAGCUAGAUUUGAGAUUGGGGUGGGGUUUUGUGGGGGAGCUUACGACGGCGUUGAAGAGAGUGGAUUUGCCAACGUUGGGGAGGCCGACGAUUCCGGCCUUGAGGCUCAUGCUGAGGCGCGAGGCGGAGGAGGAGAAGAGGCGGCGCCAUUGCCAUUGGAGGAGGAGAGGGGAGGAGGAGCACGACGAGUAGGAGGAUGAGGCGGAGGAAGGGGCACGACUAAACCCUAGAAGAGUCGAUCCCAAAACCCUAGCCACGGCCAUCGAGGUGCUUGUGGUGGCCGCAGCGGGCGAGGAAGAAGAAGAGGAGGAGAGGGCGGAGGGAGCGACGUGGAAAGGGGUGUGGCUUUACAGGCUCGAAAAUGGCGCACGUACGAGAUAAAGAGGCGGUAAAGGGAACAGGAUAUUUUGGCGUGUGCUAAGCACGUGACACGCUAAUUUAAUUAAAAAUUAUAAAAAUAUUAUCACAUACGAGCAUACAGCUACAUAGGUGCGUGAAUAAAAUUUUUUAAAAAUUUAAAAUUUAAUAUAUAAUUAUCAAAUAUUGUAUUAAAAAAAUUAUUUACUGGAUCAUUUGCUAAUAAAUAUAAAAUUGAAAACAUUGUUGUAAUUAAGGUGGAGGUGAAAUUUUAGCGCAAAAAUAGAACACAAGAUGUAAUCUAAAAAUUUUGGUUUCUCAAAUCUCUAGUAAUAUUAUAUGAGUGAGGUUACGAUGCUUCUAAAAACACGAAGCUUUCCGUGCUUUUAGGUCGUUUUCGAUGUUGCGACUUUCGAAUUGUCGAUCGGCUCCGUUAAACUUGAUCUAGAGUAUUUGAAAUAUCUAGAAUUAAAAUAAAUUUUAUGAUUUUUCGAUAUCAUUUGCCUAGUGAUCGAAGGGGCUCAAAAUCAAUAAUUUUAAUAGCCGUAGUGAGCCGUUCGCAAGUUUAAUGGUGUAAAAAUAUCCAAAUAACGUAAAAUUUUGAUAGAAAAUUUUUUAUACUAUAUAAAAUAAGAUGAAUAUCUUUGAUCUAAAAUUUUAAUGUCAUAUUAUCAUAUUUUGUAAUAUUUUUAUCUUCAGCUGUUGAUUUUGAGCCCCUUCAUUCACUAGGCAAAUAAUAUCGAAAAAUCGCAUAAUUUAUUUUCUAGGUACUUCAAAUACUCUAGAUCAAGUUUAACGGAGCUAAUCGACGAUUCAAAAGUCGCAACAUGAAAAACUACCUGGAAGCACGGAAGGAGCGUGCUUCCAGAAAUAUAGUAGCCUCACUCUAAUGUAUUUGUAUAUUUAUGCAUAUGACUAUGUUAGUUAAUUGUUCCUUAUGUGAGUGAAGUUACUUGCAUAAAACUGUUGUUGAAUUCACAAUUAGGUGCUAAUUAUGUUCCUAUGAUAAUUUUACUAAAUUUAGUGAAGAGCAAUGCUAGAUUUGCAAUCCAAAAUAGACUAUAACUCAAAACACACCCAUACAACAGCUAAUUUAUCUCCACUAAUCUUAUUAUUUUUUAUACUAAAAAUCAAGAAGAGAUUAAUAAAUUCUUGGCACUCUUGGAUGAUGACUUUUAGAAUUAUAAUAAUUUUUGUUAUUUCAGACUUUGCAUUUUUUUUUCUUUAAUAUAACCACAGGGAGUCCAAAUUAUUUCGUUCCUCCAUGCGAUCAAGUGCUAUUCCCAUGUGCCUCUUGAUCCCAUAUAUUUAAAAAAAUCGGUUGAUUAAGGUCUUGUUUGUAGUAAUCGUAGGAUGUAAUAUUAUUCAACUAACAAUUUUUUAUAACACAUGAUCAAAAAAAUAUUUUAUAUAAUAUUAGAUACAGAUUAUAAUUCUUUUUCUAACAGUAGAUUUUAAGAGCAUGACUUUGGUAUCGUAGAGUCAUGGUCGAAACCUAAAACUCCAUACGUUAAUGAGAGCGGAAUCAAUGAAACUAUUAGAUUGCUAAAUUCCAUGUUAUACCUUUAUGUAAACAAAUACACUCUAAGCCACUGUUUGGCUCGGGGUUAAGUAAAAACUUAUUAUUUCAGGAAUAAAGUUAAGUUCAGAAUUAAGGUGGGAUUGGAAUAAUUUUGUGUUUGAUUGAGAAUUAGAUUUAGUCCAGUAUAAAUAAAAUAGUAUUUGACUGGAGUAGAUGGGAUAAGAAGGAUAGUGGGUAAAAUAGUAUUUUAUUUGGUUGGAAUAGUGGGGUGGAAUGCCCACCCCCUAAAUUGGGUGUUUGGGAAUAACUUCGGAGUUAUUCCACCUUUAACCCUGAACCAAAGAGGUGCUAAGAUUUAAAAAAAAAAGAAUUUAAAAUUUUGAAUACAGGGUGCAGCUUAAAAAGUCGGAGUACCCAAAAGUAAUUUCGACCAAGAAUUCGGAUGUUUAUUAUUUUCUUUUUAACCAUUUAUUUGUACGAUUAAAUUAAAUUCUCCUCGCGCAUCACACAAACAAUUAGGGACAUUACAUUGCUGCAUUGUUACCUUCUCCGAGUGGUGCAAUAAUUUUAAUUUAUUUUNACCCCAUUAAAGGCACAAAAUUUUAACGAUAUAUGAAUGGACCCAGUCCACGAGAAUAACUGUGGAUUCUCCAUUGUAUUUAGUAUCUUUUCCAUCUCUUAUUGCAUUUUUAUUAUUUUUAAGCAAAGUGAGUGAGUAAGUGAAUAUUUCUCAAAUAUAAAUUUAUUAUCUUUGUUGCACACAAAUCGAUACUAGUACGCAAUUAGAAAUUUUGAUUUCGAAUUUUGCUAUCGCUUUUUAUAGCUAAAGUUUAUUAAAUUACUGUCAAUUUAGAGUCUUUACUAUAUACGCGAUUAAAUAAAAUAUAUUUUUUAGUUUAAGAGGAUAGCACCUUCAUAUUUUUAAUUAUGUUCUCGAGAAAAAAAAAACUAUUGAUAAAUUUUAAUAUAAUGCUUCGUUUAUAGUACUAGUAUUGACUAGUAUUGAAGUCAAUAUUGUAAAUAGAAAAGAAGCAGAGUAAUAUGCGGUCCUAUGGACGAUUCAGUGAACCAAGUUUAGCGGAUAUUUUAUCAAUAAUGAGAGCCGACCCUUUUCUAGUAUUAAUAUUUUGGUAAAAAUAAUUGGAAAACUUUUAACUGUAGGUGGAUUUGAAAUGUCUCGGUCGGUCUUUAUUUUAUUUUAUUUGAUCAAUACUUUGGUUUUCUCUUGAUUUUUUGAGAUUAAAUAAUUAUAAUUAAAAAUAUUAAAAAUUUUAUAAAGUUUAAUAUUAUCAAAUAGCGUGUGAAAAUUCUUAUAAUGAAAGAUGAAAUUAAAAAUUUAAAUAAGCAAAUAUUAUAGAUAUUCACUCAAUAUAAUUUUUUUUAUUAUUGAGACCUCUUUAUUUUUAAAAUUUUACAAAGUAGGUAAUUUUAGCUAAAAGUUGUAAAAAAUAUUAAAUUCAUUUAGUAAUUUUAUCAAAUUUAAUAAUUUAAUAAUUUAAUAAAUAAAAUUGGAUAACUUUAUAAUUAAUAACUAAUAAAGUGUUUAACUUAACUAAAUAUUAAAAUUAAAUAAAAAAAAAAGUUAAGGAGGCGGUUUGCGAAGUUCCUCGAGUGGAGGGGGUCUGAUACAUUUUUACCUAUUUAUUUAUUUUGGCUCAGGCUAUAAAUCUACUUCUCAUUAUUUCACCUCGCUCCAUAAAUGCUACUCCACCGCCCUCGCACACCAUCUCUCUCUCUCUCUCUCUUUUAAUUUUUUUUUUUCUUCUUUUUUCUCGGGGGAAGAGAGAGAGAAAGAGAGAGAAGAGAGAGAGAGCGAAGGUGAGUGUCGAGGAAGGAAGCUAAAACUCUUCUCUCCACGAAACUCCUCUCUCUCUCUCUCUUUCUCUCUCUACGAUACUCGUUUCCUUUCUCUCUCCUCGUUCUCCACUCCACCUCUCUCUCUCUCUCGCGCGGUCGCGUCUCUCUCUCAUCCCUCAUCUCAGAUCUCUUGGCGAGAAACCCUAAUCGGAUCGGAGGAACCCUCUCUCUCUCCCCGCCUCUAGAUGGUCAUGGUCUUCGGAAUCGUGUGAUGCCCACGGUACUUCUCUGUUCGAUUGCUUGCAGUGCUAGGCUUUUAGCGCUCGAGGCGAGAUGAUGAGGGGAGUUGAUGGCGAGGGUGGGGUUCCUCAGAACCCUAACCCUGUUGCCGAUCUCGGGGAGUUUGGCGACCCCGCGGAAGGUCAAAUCGCUCCCCUGGAUCUGUUGUGUUCUUUUGUUUCUUUUUUUUUUUCUUGAGUCUUGAUCUAUGUUUUGUGGUGUGAUUCCUUUACCCCAUUGAUUUACUAUUUUGCUCUCGUGUUGAGAUUUGGUGAUGUUUGUUCAUUGAUUUCUUGCAAGAUAUAUUGAUUGCUUAUGCCGGUUCUUUCUAGUUUGGGAAUUAGCCCGCAGUACUUUUAAAUUACUUCUUACUAGAUUUUCUUUUUUUUUUUUUUUGGUGGAUAGACUAUUUGAUGGUAGAUUCCUAUAGCUGUUAAUCAGAGAUUGCUGUAAUAAAUGUUCAUUUUAUUGGAUUUAUGUGAAGGAGAAUAUUUUUGUCUUGAUUGGCAUGUAACAGUGUUUGGAAUGACAUUCGUGGGUUUGAAAUUUCUAGCUAUUUAGCUGGAAUUCGGCGAGCUUACAUUAUGAGCGUCGGCCAAUUGAUUUUCGAACUUAGUAUGUUUGUUGCAGUUGCAAUGUUAUCAUAAUUUACUCCUUAGUCUACAGAAGAAUUUAAGCAAAGUUUGCUAGUUAACUCUUCAACUGGUUUCAAUUAGUCUGUUCUUCUUAGUUUUUGUAGGGCUGGCGGUUUCUUGUCGCUUUUCUGUUAUUUUUAUAAUACCGGAAUGGUGAAUCCAUGUUGUGCACAUCAUUACGACAAACCUUUACUUGUCCCUUCCACGUGCCUGAUUGUUAAGUAGACGGCUGCUGUAUUGCCUUUUUAUUUUUUUGGUAUACUGAAUAUGCAUGUACCAGAUGAAUGUGCAUGUUCGUUGGCUGAUCUAUGCAUGUUCAUCUUUUCUGUUUAUUCUAGUCAGUAGAUAAUGUGUUUAAACUUUUUUUUUCUCCUUUUUUUUGGGCAGGGAACACCUGUUUUGAUGCUUCACAGUAUGCAUUUUUUGGCAAUGAGUUGAUGGAGGAAUUUGAACUAGGGGGGUUAGGAGAUGCUAAAGAAGGUGAUGGUGCUGCUGGAUUUGGGCCUUAUGAUGAGGAAUACUGUUUUUCUUCUGUUGGCAAUAGAGAAGAGGUAAGUCUCACAGCAGGAAUUAAGUAACAUCCUAAUUCCUAUCGAACUUUUGUGCUGGCUGAAUGCAUAAAAUGUCUUAUUAGUUCCCAAGUUUAGAGCUAUGCACUCUGUCUCAUUUCAAAGGCUUUUUUAUUGUUCCGAGUUAUGGAAUACUUGACGUUACAUCUUUCUGUUUACCGUUAUUUUUUGAAACAUUAUGCAUUUUAUGCAUAUAAGAUUUUGGAACGUUUUAGAUUAAAGUGACAUUUUUGAUUGAACUAAGUUUCCAAAUCCUGAAGACAUGUAUGAAGAUUUAUCUUAUAUAAUUACAUUGCUACCGGUCACUUUUUGAGCACUACAUUUGAUGUUUUAUGACGAUCUGACAAGUCUUAAGAAGUUUUUUCCUGUUGCAUUUGCAGGAUGAAGUUUUAGGUUCGCUGUCUGACAUUGACGAUCUUGCAACCACUUUUUCAAAGGUUUGCGUCAGGAUUUAUUAUCAUUACUUCUUCAGAGCUUCAAUUUGCGCAUCACGCUUGAUAACUUCAAUUUUAUUUGGUUAUCUACACCUCUUCUUGAUAUUCUCAUCAUUGACAAUUGCAGAUUUGUAUUAGUAAAGGGCAGUUGUGAGAAAAGUUUUUAGCCAAUUAGUUUCAUUUUUCUCUCUUUAAUAUGUAUGCUCUCUAGCUGUUAUUGACUACCCUUUUUAGUUGUCUAUUAUGUUUAAGUUUACAUAAUAAUACAUGCAAACUUGUUCUAGGUGUUUUAAAUGCUUAUCCUCAAAACUUCUGUCUCUUUUUUUUUUUUUAAAUUCUAAUUCUUGAUCAAAUUGUGGUAUAGUUGUUAUUUGCUGCCCAUUGUUCUAUAAUACAUUAUUGUUCAUGUGGAAACAAUUUAUUGAAACUCACGUAUCUCUGCCUUCGUUAUCUCACAGUUACUAAAAAUAAAUAAUAUCUAAAUUUUACACAUGCAACCAAAUUCUGAUCAAAACCUUUAUUCCCUUAUUGAUUCUUAAUAAAGCUUUCCUGAAUUAUCUCACAAGUUUCCUAGAAAAUGGUUUAAAUCUACUGUAGAAUUACUUAAUUAUUGGAUAUUCCUUAUUUUACAUGCUUUAGCAAAUGUUUCUUGAACUUUUUUUUUUCUUACAAAUAUCAUUGAAACAACAGUUGAUUUUGUGGAGAGGGAUGGUAAAGGGCCUACUUUCUGUGUUUGAGAAUUUAUUUCAGAUUUCCUCUUUUGGGGGUGAGCUGGUGCUGAUUCUUAUUGAUUAUUGUUUACUGUUCUCUCAAAUACAUACCAUCGUUAGGCACAGCAUUUAGACCUAUGAGCUUGCAAACAUUUAAAAUCUUACCAUUUCUUACUAUUGAAGAUUGGAGGUUCGAUUGCAUGCAUUACAUCCAUUUUGUCAACAAUCUAUUCUCUCUUUUAGUCAUCUAUGAUCUACUUAUUUUAAGCGGUUAAUGAACCCUGUUCUUAUUGACUCGGUAUUUUUUUUUUUCCGUCUUCUUGCCUCGAUCAGUUUUUGCGUUGUGUUUUGAGUUAGAUAUUUAUGGUGUCUUCAUAAUUGUGCUUGUCUUAAGUCACUUUGCUUCCUUCUUUAGAAUAAUAUUCUUUCUGGCUUGCAGUUGAACAGAACUGUUGGUGAACCAAGGAAUGCAGGGGUUAUUGGUGAUAGAAGAUCUUUUUCAAGAGAAAGUGAGUGAUAAUUUUAUCUUAUACUCUGUAGGUUACAACAUUUUUUAUGUUCAGCUGUAAUAGCAAUAUGGUUGGCAUAUUGCUUUUACUUGGUCUAGUAUCUCUUCCAUUCUUGUUAUCCUUCUUUCAUUCUCCAGCUAGAUAUAAUCCUCAAUCGAUCUUUCACAUUAGCAAUAGUGCCAAGUUGACAGAAGUUACCGUUUUCUUGAGUAAGCAUAUGAUAAGGACGAAAUGAUCACUUGAAGUAUGUCAUGUUGCUGUCACCGGCAGUGUAAGUGGAGUGGAAUAAUGGUUGUACAUCAAAGAAGUGGAAAAUCGAAAUCAAAAGAGUCCCGGGAAAUUCUUAUGGUAUUUUUUUGUCCUGUAAUAAAACACUUGAAGAACAAAUGUACCAUCUGCUUUUUCCUUGGGCUCAUUUGGUUCUCAAAUAAUCACCUCUUUAUGUAAGUGCCCAUGUUGUAUAGGAAACACCUAUCAAAAGGGACACAUAGUUCAAAGAGAAUGAUUUAGUAUGUGUACCAUGAUUUUGAAUAUUUGAAUUCUGAACUGAUACAUAAAAUGUCAGAAGAUCUUGUAUGAGAUUAAUGCAAAUCGACUUUUGUGAUUGGAAAAUAGUAAUGUCGUUAAAUCUGCCAUACUUUCAUAAAUUGUAAAUUUUUUCGUGUCGUGUUGUAUACUUUGAUUAACAUGUCAACCUUUGGUAUUAUGUUAAUAACAGUACUAAUUAGGCACUAAACAUUUUAAUGCCUUUUCUUUAGGUUCUUCAACUGCUGACUGGACUCAGGAAUCAGACUAUCCAAAUUGGAGAGAUCAGUCUAUACUCGAUGCUGAGUUCAUUCAAGAAGGUAAACGGUGGAGUUCACAGCCGCAUCCUUCUUCAUCCACUCUUUCAGAUUCCGAAGAAUUGCACAGAACCUCUUCGUAUCCUCAGCGACCGCUGCAACAUCAAACAAGCGAACCAAUUCUUGUACCCAAGUCUCCGUUUACUUCCUAUCCUCCGCCAGGCGGACGGUCUCAUCCCUCAUCAAACCUCACACGCCAUGCAAGCAUUCCAUCUCUCUCUGUUGACCUGCAGAUGCAGAUGCUUCCAAAUAUGUCUCCUUUUCCAGCAUCUCAUCAUCAUUUAGCUGGAUUACCUCAUGGAAUGCAUUAUGGAGGAGAUUGGUCUUUCAGCCCCUUAAAUAUUCCGACUACUAACCGGCGGCUAAACAGCUGGCCAAACCAAGUUAACCUCUUUUCUGCUGAUCAUCCCAAUAUAGUACCUAACUUGUUACAACAGCAAUUACCUCAUCCAAAUGGUUUAGUGCCGCCACUACUAUUGUCUCAGCAGCAACAGAGAUUACAACAGCUCCAGUCAUCUCUUCUUCAGUACCCACGUUUGCAGUCUCAAUUAUUCAACCAGCUUCAUCCACCACAAUUGGGGGACCAAAGGUCAAAGCCAUCUCAAGGGGGAAGACAGAAAAUGCGCAAGUCUCAACAGUCUUCUGAUACAAUUAGCCAGAGGACCGAUAGUGGGCGGCCACAAUUUAGAUCCAAGUACAUGUCAGCUGAUGAGAUAGAAAAUAUCUUGAAAAUACAGCAAGCUGCAACUCAUAGCAGUGAUCCUUACAUUGAUGAUUACUACCAUCAAGCUUGUCUUGCAAAGAAGUCUGCUGGCUCCGGGCUGAAGCACCAUUUCCACCCAACAUCCAUAAAGGAUGUGCCUUCUAAAUCACGAAACAGCCAUGAAAAACAUGCAUUCCUUCAAGUCGAUUCACUUGGGAGGUUCUCUUUCUCUUCUAUUCGCAUGCCUCGCCCUCUCCUCGAGAUAGACUUGCCUUCUACUUCGGAUGAUGGUUCUGUUAAGUCCCUAGAACAAGAGCCUAUGUUAGCAGCUAGAAUCACCAUUGAAGAUGGCCUUUGCCUUCUUCUUGAGGUAGAUGACAUCGAUCGACUGUUAGAGGUCACCCAGCCACAAGAUGGCGGUUUCCAACUUAGACGGAAAAGACAGCUUCUCCUAGAAGGUCUUGCGGCAUCACUUCAACUCGCUGAUCCUCUUGGCCCAACUAAACCUGAGCUCGCCCCGAAGGAUGAUCUCAUUUUUCUUCGUUUAGUUUCUCUUCCAAAAGGCCGGAAGCUCCUUUCACGCUACAUUCAACUUCUCAGCCCCGGAAGCGAGCUUGCACGUAUAGUCUGCAUGGCCAUUUUUAGGCAUCUGAGGUUCUUAUUUGGUGGUUUAUCAAUAGAUACUAGUGCGGCAGAAACCACAACGAAACUUGCGAGGACUGUUUCUUUGUGUGUUCAGAGUAUGGAGUUAAGUUCACUCAGUGCUUGCCUUGCUGCUGUGGUCUGCUCCUCUGAACAGCCGCCCCUUCGUCCACUCGGUUGUUCUGCUGGUGAUGGAGCAUCCAUAAUCAUCAAAACUGUUCUUGACAGAGCAACAGAACUUCUGACCAAUUCCCUCACAACAAACAACUAUUCUGUUUCGAACCGAGCUUUAUGGCAGGCGUCAUUCGAUGCUUUCUUUGGGCUUCUCACCAAAUAUUGUUUGAGUAAAUAUGAUAGUAUAUUGCAAAUGUUUCUCAUGCAGUUAUCAAACGCUGCAGCACUUGAAUCCGAGGUGAGCAGAGCUCUGAGUAGGGAGAUGCCUUUCGAGUUGCUUCGUGCUGGUCUUCCUCAUACGAAUGAGCAGCAGCGUGAUAUGCUGAAUAGGUUCGCUCAGAGAUCUAUGCCUGCCUUUGGUUUUCGCGUUCGUGGUGGUGGCAGUGGGGCUAUUACUUCUGAAUCAGUUCCCAGUUAAUGCACAUGGAAAGAGAGAGAAUCAGCGAAGGUAUCUCGCUAGUGUUGAUUCUGUCCAUAACAGAGGUUAUGACCAUCUAUGGCUUUCAGGUGACCCUCGUAGCUUUUCAUUUCGCUCUUAUGCUUGUUAGCUAAUAUUUACAUCUUUGUAGACUGGUGGACAAAAUGUUCAUCCGUACAUACUAUUUUAGAGCUCGUAUGUUAAGUUGUUACGGAAACUUUCUCCUGGGCACUUAGUUAUAAUGCCGCUCUGCAUUAGCACUGGAUAUAGUGGGGCAUAGUUGUACAGGAUUCUCAUGCUGCAACCUUCCUAUCUGUUCUUUUUAAGGAGAAGGAAGCUGCGAAUAGAAUAGCUCUUUCUAGUUUUGGUUUGGCUGGCGAGGAUAGCUUCUGUUUGGUUAAAAACUUGAUGUGAUGUUGGUAUACUGGGCAUCUGGAAAUGUCAUUGUUCUGCCCUUUUUAUGUAAUCUGUUUUGUGAUGAAGCAUCGAAACAUUUACGAAUUGUUAAUUUCUCUACGAAUGAACUUUUUUAAUAAUGGACAAUGUGAACAUGUAAUAUUUCACUGUUUGUUUAUUUGAUUGGCCGUAGUUGUUCUAUCAUUACAAGUGUAAAUCUGUGAGUAUGCACUAUUUAAACAAUUAAACAGUGCAGCAAAUUAUCCAGAGCACCUAUGAUGUUAAGUUACUGCUCAGUGACUCUAAGCCAAUUUCGAAAUGAUCAGCUGAAUAAUUUGGAUGGUGGUGGUGAUCUUGGUUGCCUAAAUGUUGUUCUCCGGGAAGCCACUUUUGUAUGUCAACUGGCUGUUUCAGGUGAUGUUUCUAGUUCUCGCUCUGCUGCAAAUUCCGAGGAAAAUUUUUCUUGUUAGUGAUGGGGAAAACGUUAGUUUUAAUCUUCUUUUUUGUUCGAGAGCUUUUGAUAAAGAAGCUUUCUUUCUUCUGUAUUUUUGUUUUUUACUUUUUGGGUUGUGGAGAGGGAGGGAAGUGGGGCGGUUGUGUGUGAAUUGGGGCCUGGAAGCUUGGCUAGAACUUGUAUUCAAUCUCUUUCUAUUAAAGAGGAUCUCGUGAUGCUUCUGUUAGCAUCGCUAAACAAUACAAUUGGGAGUAGCCAAGUUGCCUUUUUUUUUGCCCAAGAGCAAUCUACAGCCCUUAACAGCUUUAGAAGCCUAACACUCUUUGCCAAGUCAGCAUGGAAGCAGAAUUUUAUUUUACAAGACUGUGUCCUAUUCACGGUCUUUUUAAAAAAUUUUUUUUAUAAUUUUUUUUUAUGCUAUAAAGAUUCUAUAUAAUUUAUUAAUUAAAAUUUGUAUAUGAUUGUUACGAUUAUAUAUAAAAAAUAAAAAAAAAUAAGGUUGUGAGAAUUGUAUGUAGAUUAUUUAGAGUUUUUAUUUGAUUGUUAAAGUUGUAUGAAUAGAUUAUUAAAAAAUUUUAGGUUGUUAAGAUUUUAUUAAUUUGUUGAAAUGUUUUUUUUUUUUUGAGAGAUAGGUAGCACGCUAUCCGCUUCGUUUAUUUCAUUUAAAAAUAAACUUAGCUGGAAAUGUGAAUCAACUAGGAUUCGAACUUGAGACCUCAAGUACCAACCAUCCACUUGUUUUAGGGUCGGUCGGUAUUUGUUGAAAUGUUUAUAUGAUUUUUAGGAUAUAUAUGAAAAAUAAAAGGAAAGAGACGGUGAUUUGUAUGAAAAAUUAAAAGAGGACGAAUCGUUCAUCGUUUUCAUAAAAACUAUAAGUUGUUGGCCGUCUUUAAAGAAAAUUUUAUCCUGAAGCUUUUUUUACAAAAAAAAAAAUAAUAAUAAUAAUAGUUUGCCGAAAUAUUUUCAGAGGGUUAUUUAUCUGAAUUUUUAUAAGGUUUAUUUCGAAAAAAAAAGAAAAGAAAAAAGGGUCCCAUUUUAACCUUGUUCGCGAAUCCUUGUGACGGUUCAAAUUCUACGCAUCCAAGCUCCAAACGAGGGAGACCCCAAAGGCUAUGUGAGAGAAGCCGAUGAGCUGCAAACUCAAAUCCGCGGGCGACGGAGCAGCCCUUGUUUUCCACCAGAAUCUGAAGCUCACGCAUCUUGCCAAAUGCGGCCGCCUCGACGAAGCCGUCGCCGUCUUCAACGCCAUGAGCACCCGCAACACCGUCACCUACAACUCCAUGAUCUCCGCCUACGCCAAGAACGGCCGAGUCGCCGAGGCGCGGCGCCUCUUCGACGCCAUGCCCUCCCGCAAUUUGGUUUCCUGGAACACCAUGAUCGCCGGGUACUCCCACAACCAAUUCGUUCUCGCAGCCUCUAACCUGUUCGAUAGAAUGCCCGAAAGAGACAUCUUUUCGUAUUCCCUAAUGAUUACCUGCUAUGCACGAAAUGGUGAAUUGGAGAAGGCGCAGGAACUGUUCGAUAGAAUGCCUGCCGAGAAGAGCUCGGUUUGCUACAACACACUGAUAUCGGGAUAUGCAAAGAGUGGGAGGUUCGAAGAUGCUGUACAGUUGUUGAAUAAAAUGCCUUCUCAGAGCUUGGUUUCCUGGAAUUCGGUGCUCGCCGGGUACACGCAGAACAAGAAGAUGGGUUCGGCUUUGAAAUUCUUUGAGCAAAUGCCGGCGAAAGAUGUGGUGUCUCAAAACUUGAUGCUUGAUGGGUAUGUUCGGAUCGGGGACUUGGACUGCGCUUUGGAGUUUUUUAGGAGGAUUGACUCGCCGAAUGUUGUUUCUUGGGUGACUAUGAUAAGCGGGUAUUGUAGGAGUGGCAGGAUUUUUCAAGCUAGGGAGUUGUUCGAUCAAAUGCCGGAGAGAAAUGUUGUCUCAUGGAAUGCGAUGAUUGCAGGGUAUGUGCAAAGUUUGCAGAUAGAAGAGGCUUACAAAUUGUUCAUGGAGAUGCCGGAGAAGAAUGCAAUUUCAUGGACAACGAUGAUAAAUGGAUAUGUUCGUAUUGGGAACCUCGACGAAGCUUGUAAAAUGCUCGGUAAAAUGCCUUUCAACAGUGUGGCAGCAGAAACUGCAAUAAUGAAUGGCUAUGUUAGGAAGGAAAGAAUGGAUGAUGCUCAUCAAAUUUUUAACCAAAUAAGAGCACAGGAUGCUGUAUGUUGGAACACGAUGAUUUCAGGCUAUGCACAAUGCGGACGAAUGGAUGAGGCCGUGGAUUUAUUCGAGCAAAUGCCAAGGAAGGAUGUUGUGUCGUGGAAUACUAUGGUAGCAGGUUAUGCUCAAUGUGGGCAAAUGAGCAAAGCUAUAAGCAUUUUUGAACAGAUUGGUCACAAGAAUACCGUGUCAUGGAAUUCUAUCAUCUCUGGUUUCGCGCAGAAUGGCUUCUACGCGGAAGCACUUCUUUAUCUCGUGCUCAUGAAAAAGGAGGGGAAGAAGCCCGAUUGGUCUACUUUCGCUUGCGGCUUAAGUGCUUGUGCAAACCUUGCGGCUUUGCAAGUAGGUAAGCAACUCCACGACCUCCUACUCAAAAGUGGGCACAUUACCGACUUCUUCGCUGGCAAUGCCUUGAUAACCAUGUACGCUCGUUGUGGAAGGAUCCUACAAGCAAGACGGGUCUUUAAUGAAAUGGCGGUCGUUGACGUUAUUUCAUGGAAUGCUUUGAUUGCUGGCUUUGCCUUAAAUGGUGAUGGAAGAGAGGCAAUUUCACUCUUUCGAGAGAUGGGGCGAAAUAAUGUUAGUCCCGACGAGGUAACAUUUGUUGGUGUUCUCUCGGCAUGUAGUCAUGCGGGAUUAAUCGAUGAAGGACUAGCCUUGUUUGACUCUAUGAGCAAAGAUUACUCUAUUAGACCUGUGGCUGAGCAUUAUGCUUGUAUUGUUGAUUUGCUUGGGAGAGCAGGGAGAUUAAUGGAAGCAUUUGGAUUAGUGAAGCAAAUGCCAGUCGAGGCAAAUGCUGGAAUAUGGGGAGCUUUACUUGGGGCUUGUAGAAUUCACAAGAACCGUGAGCUAGCUAGAUUCGCUGCGCCGAAACUGUUUGAGCUUGAGCCACAUAAGACUUCGAAUUAUGUGUUAUUGUCGAAUAUAAAUGCGGAAGUGGGUAGAUGGGAUGAGGUUGAAAGAAUGAGGGUUUUGAUAAAAGAGAGGGGAGUGCAGAAGCAACCGGCGCGCAGCUGGAUCGAGAUAAAGAAUAAGGUUUGUUCCUUCUCGGCCGAUGAUUCAGCAGAGACAAGGACAAGUGAAGUAUGUAGAGUUUUGGAGGAGCUAAGCGCGCAAAUGAGAGACACAGGGAUUUUCCCCGAUUCGUCUGUACUAGAUUGUGGAUGAGCAUCCAAAUCCUGUUACUGUUGUCUAACAGAUGAAUCAGAAAAGAGACUGUUCCCGUAGCAUUCAAAUCGACUCAACCGCAUGCAGUUGAGUCGCAUCAUGAACCUUUUGAGUCAUUUGAUUUCAUUUACAAUCUGGUAGAAUUGUAUAUUGUACAGUUUCACCACAGCCUCUGCUGAUGAUGGUUUAGUUAAAUCGUUGAGUAAGAGAGACUGCAGAACCUUGUCAUGUAAAUAUGCAAAUUUAUACAACUCAUUAAAUGUGCAAUUUAUGCUGUUAUUGUCUAUGGUAAAUAAAGUCUUUCAUGCUGGCAUAUUAUCAGAAAACAAUUCUCUUUAAUGCAAGAAACAGUUUAUACAUUAGUAUAUAAUGCUAAACAAUUGGUACUGAUACAGAGUAUUUUCAAAUAUUAAACAAAAUCAAGAGGGUUCAUACAAAAUUUGUUCUGCUAAAGAAUUAAAUAAUCUAUAGUCUGGUCAAUCUAGAUGAGCAUUCCAUCAAAAUCAGUCCUUUCUGCUACAUUAAUUGCUUAACAUGCUGUGGUUCUCUUCAAUAAUCGGAGUUUUCUCCCUUGAAGUCGAUUAAUCUUUGAUUAGAAAAUGAAUGAUCAUUAUCAGUACUUCAUCCCUGGCACUGAUGGAAUUUCGUCGAUAUCGCUUUGAUUGUCCUGAAUGCAUACUUUUUGAGGCCAUAUUCAAGUCCUGUUUGUUCAUCUUUGCCUUCAAAUUUCUCCAACUUGUAACAUAUCAACCCUAUCUUCUGAAAUUUGUUCUUGGGCUUCAACCCAACUCAUUCCGGUAUCCUUUCUUAUCCCUUGAUCCCUCAUCAUUGUGCGAAUGUGAGCCUUUCUAUCCCACAUGCCCAUUGAAGCAUGGAUACUCGCCAAACUAACAUAAGGGGAAGGAUCCUCUGGUCUCAUUUCCAAUACCUUCUUCGCUGCGAAUCUUCCAAGUUCUACAUAUCCAUGGACUUUGCAAGAAGUGAGAAGUGUUUCCCAGACCAGUCGGUCCGGUUCACAUGGCAUUGCAUCAAUAAACUCAAUUGCAUCAUUGAGCCUACCUGCUCGACCAAAUAGAUCGACCAUACAAGCAUACUGCUCCAUCUUAGGCUCCAGUUCAUACUCGGUGCUCAUUUGUUCGAAGUACUCGCAACCCUCUUCGACAAGACCCAUUCGGCUACAAGAAGCUAGGAUUCCCGUGAAAGUAUAGUCGUCGGGUUUAAUGCCUUCUUCCUGCAUCAAAACAAAGAGCUUCAAAGCGUCGUUUUCAUGUCCAUGUUGCGAAAAGCCAUUGAUCAAAGCAUUCCAGGAGACGAUAUUUCUUUCGGGCAUUAAGAAGAAAACUUUCAACGCAAAAUCCACAUUUCCACACUUAGCAUACAUAGUUAUCAGGGAAUUCUCAACAGAUAAGUUAUCACCAAUCCCCAAUUUUACAGCCUUUGAGUGGAUUUGCUGGCCCAUUUGAAGGUUGGUAAGAAUCGAACAAGCCCUAAGAGCACCGGUUACACUGAAGACGGGCGCGCUCAGCCCUUCUCGAAGCAUUCUCCUGAAUAAGAUGAGUGCUUCUUCUCCACAAUCAUUUUGCCCAUAACAUGUCAAUAAUGCAGUCCAAGAGAUAAUAUCUUUAUCUCUCAUCUGCUGGAAUAAUCUAUCUGCGCUUUUGACAUCACCGCAUCUCCCGUAAAGAGAAAUAAUUGCAUUGGCGGUUGAUACAUCUGAAAUGAAUCUACUUCUCACAGUGUAGCAAUGAAUCUCCUUUCCCGUUGCUAAUUGUCCUAAAGAUGCGCAUGCCACAGCUACACUAGUUAUCACAGAUGGGUCAAUUGCCACUUUUUCGUCAAUCAUCUUUUGAAACACAUCGAUCGCCUCUUUGUUGUAUCCAUUUUGCAUGAAAGAUACGAGCAACGAAGUCCCUGAAACAACAUCGCGACUCAGUCUCGUAGAGAGUCUGAUUAUUUCAUCCACUCCUCCGCACUUCCCAUACAUAGAGAUCAGGGCACUACCUAAUAGGUUAUCGACUUCAAUUCCAAGCUUCACUAUCCACCCAUGAACUUGUUUACCUAUACCAAGCUUACCUGGUUUGUCGAAGAUCUUAAGAAGACUAGAAAAGGUCAUUCCAACCGGCCAAACUUUCCAGCGAAUCAUGUCCUUGAAGAGAUCAAGUGCGGAUUUUUUGAACAUAUACUGCUCGCUAUUGGCAAAACAAGUGAUCAUACUAGUCCAACUCACGACAUCCUUAUAAGAGGUUUGAUCAAAGACCCUCCAUGAACUCUCAAUCUCCCCGCACUUUGCGUACAUGUCGAUCAACGUCCCUGCUACGAAUGAAUCAUACUCCACACCAAAUUUAAUCGUGUGGCAAUGAAGCUGAAUCCCUGUUCUCGAAUCCCUCGCGCGAGCGCAGCCGCUGAUCAUGCUACCGAACGUGAACGUGUUCGGAAGAAGACCACCGUCGUUUAACAUCCCCCUAAGCAAAAAGAUGCCAUUUUUAAGAUUACCCAAGCGGGUAUACCCAGAAAUUAGCAGAGUCCACGUGACGACGUUUCGUUGGGGCAUUUCGUCGAACACCUUGCGCGCGUCCUGCAUCGACCGGGAAACGUAGGCGCAGAGGAGGUGGUUGCAGAGGAAGGUGGAGACCAAGCAACCGAGCUUGAGAGAGAGGCCAUGAACGGCCCUGGGAUCGGUGGUGGCGCGGCGCUUGAGGUAGGAGGAGAGGUGGUCACGGAGAGGAGGUUCCAUUGGUGGGGUGGGUUCGAGGAAGAGGUGGUUAGGGUUCUUGUGCUGUUCAUGGCUUUGUGGAGUGGUGGUGUUGUAUUGGUGUUUGAUGGGAUUGAGGAGUUAAAAUGAAUUGCAUUGGCGAGGGUGGGGCGCGGAGUGCAUGACGCUUACCGUUGAGGGUGGAUUUCGCAUAUGUGCCAUGGAGAUAGGGAUGUCUAUGGGUAUGGAUAUCCGAAAUUUUAUUCUAACAGGAACCCGAAUAAAACAGAUAUAUCCGAUGUUAAAUGAAUAUGGAUUUGAAUAUAAAUUUCAAAAAUAGAAACCCGACGGAAAUGAAUUUUGACUGUACCCGACCCGAACCCGAACCCGAACCCGACCCAAACCCGAAUUUAUAUUGUAUUAUAUAUAAUAUAUAUAUAAAAAUUUGAUAUUAUAUUUCAAAUUAUAUUUUAAAAUUUUAGAUUUUUUGAAAUAUUGAAAAAGAAAUAACUGUUUCGGGUUCAAAUUUUCGGGUUCGGAUUCGGGUUUGGGUUUGGAUAUGGAUUUUUAAAAUCCGUUCGGCUCGGGUUCGGAUUCAGGUUUCGGGUUUGGAGUCGGGUUCAGAUUCGGAUUUUUGAAAAUCCGCACCAAAUCCGACCCAUUGACAUCUCUACAUGGAGAAAUGGAGGGACAAAAAAGCUUAUUUUGUUAACAAAAAGAGCCAAAAAAAAAGAAAAGAAAGAAGAGUAUAUAAUCCGAGAUCUCAUAUAAAAUGUUACUUUUUUUUUUUGAUAGUAAAUAAAUUUACAGGAUAUAUUAUUACUUAUACAAUAAAUAAAUAAUAUAAUAUAUUACAGUAUUUUAAGUUAUGAGUAAUACAUUGGCCCAACUUAAAUGGACUAAAAAGAAAUAGCCCAGUUAGAGCCGUAUGUUAGAUGGGCCUUGUAGUCGAAUGGGCCGAUACAGUUUAAUUUCCAAAAGUUUUGGGGUUUUCUUGCAAUUGUGCCCACCACGCAAUCGACGCCCCCCCAAAACCCUAGCCCCGUAAACCAUCCCUCUUCCUCUUCUUCUCUCUCUCUCUCCACCCCCUCCCUCAAAACCCUAGAAAGGGUCAAAAUACUUUACCCUACGGAAUCUAUCAAACCCUAGCACACGAGAGCCAUGUUUACGGGGGGGCAAAGCUUCGUCUCCGCACCUCCGACCUUCUCCAACGACGGGAAGAAGCUCCUGGUGUGCACGGGCUUCACCGUCUCCAUCUUCAGCACCUCUACGGGUAUGCAGGUAAGCCCCCUGCCAUUACACUAUUUCCGUACACUAUUCCCGUGUUUGUGAAGGGGAAUGAUGGAUAGAAGGGUAGAUGAUAACUGGGUAGUGAUAAAAAAUCUCAUCUUGGUGUGUAAGAUUGCGGAAUUGGAGGGCCACACCGAUCGUGUGACCUCGAUCGUCGUGGUGCCGGUCGCCGCGCCUGCGAGCAAGUUCAUGGAUUACUGCUGGACUUCGUCUUUAGAUGGGAUGAUUUGUUAUUGGGACUUCUCCGUGCCGGAGUUGAUAAAGAAGGUGAAGGUCGAACUCCCAAUAUUUUCCAUGGUAAGUUGGUUUUAUUAUUCUUUUAUGCCUUCUCUAGUUUUCUCAUUUGAAGCUCUUUAACUCACUUCAGCUAUAUACUGUGUGGGACCAAUUGAAAAAGUGAGCCAAUUUGGGUUAUGCUAGUCAACGAAUUUGGAAAUCAAGCUGAUUUCGAGUAACUUAGAUUCAUUGUUUCAAUUUUGAACAAACUGGAGUGGUCUAGUUUAUUAAUUUCACAGUUCCAUGUAUAGAAGAUGCAACUUGUCAUUUGCUGACUUGAUGAUAUUCUAAGUUAUUUGUUUUACAGGAUGAAGUUUGUAUGCAUGUAAUUAUAAUAUAUCUAUCUUGUGAAUCUAUUUUAAUCCUUGCUCUGGCAAUCUUUGUAGUUGGAUUUUAUUACUUUAUUAUUUUCAUUCAGGUGAUACCCAACAUAUCAAAUGCGUCAAUAGGGAGCGGUAAUAAGUCAUCCACUCUUUAUGCAUUUGUGUCAGUCGAAGACAAAACUAAGCCGGAUGAUCAACAUAAAGCAUUACGUGGCCAAAUUCGGAUUUACAACUUAACGAGCUCGCGUCGUGUUGGGGGGCUUUUGGCUGAGGUGCGAUCAUAUAAUUUUAUGGACUUGCUCGUUUUAGUGAAGCCAUUCAUUGGACUCACUGGGGUUUCGUAACAUAACUGUUUAUUAUUACCAUUGUUUUUGCAUGUGUAAUGCACAAAUUUCUUUCAUUGAUAGUAUGUGCAUUGAUCUGGUAUAUGCCCUCCUCAUCAUCGAAGCCUUUCCUGAAUAGUAUAGUUUGGCUAGAGAACAAGAUGGAAGCAUUGACAUGUUGCAAUACUAUGAUUGAACAUGCAGCUUAAGAAAUAAAAUUAGAGGCAACAUCUCCUUGAGAAAUAUGAUAUAGAUGUUGAUUCAUCUUUCAGCAUGUUACUUUGUACUACUUAAUUUAUAUGCCUAUACUAGAUUGAUAAUACCGCAUUAAUGUAUACAGACCCGGAAUCCAGAACAUAUUAUUGUGAGUAGAUCUGGAGAAUUCAUAGGUAUAAAAAACAAGCGAAAACUUCAUGUAUGGAGGAUCCCUGAAGAUUUUAAGCCUGACGAAAUAAAGAAGAUUAAGCUACAUCAUACAAAGAAUCUGAGUGCUCUUGCCUUUCAUCCAACUGAGAGAAUGGUAGCAGGAGGUGAUGUAACAGGGCGGAUAUUGAUCUGGAGAGGUUUUGGAAUGAAAAAGUUCACAGAAACUUUGCGAGAAUCAAGAGGAAGGCCAAAGCUUGAUGAAGACAGGCCUGGGGUAAGGGGUAACGAUGAUGCAGAUUCCUGCUCAACAUGGCAUUGGCACCCAAGUGAAAUAAAAUUUCUCCUCUUUUCUUCAGACGGAGCUUAUUUGUACUCAGGUUAUUCCAUACUUAGAUGCUGACUUUCUAGCUUUAUCAUAUCACCUUAAACCAAUUCUUUCGAGUCCCUCACUUGGUAAUGAUGAUACUGCAGCAUUGUUAGCUGUUGAUCUUCUUUUUUUUUUUUUUAUUUAACAGGUGGACAGGAGGGGGUUAUUGUGGUAUGGCAGCUUGACACUGGAAAGCGGAAGUAUAAACCACGCUUAGGAUCCCCACUAUUGUACUUUGUAGAUUCACCAGAUCCUUCUCUUUCUUGUGUAAGACAUCAGUUGUAUAGUUAUAAUUGUGUGAGAUUUGUGCUUCUACAUAAUUUGUUAUCAGCCACAUGUUUCAUGAAUUUAAUGUCAUUAAUGCGCAUUUAAGCAGGCAAUCCUUGGAUUUGAUUAUAUAAAUUUGUUAGCACAAAUUGCCACUAUGCAUUGAUUUCUUAGUUUUCAUAUGCUGUAAGGUGUAUAUACUGCUUUUUGCAGCGUAUUCAACUGAUUGCUAUUUCAGGUAUCUUGUGCAGAUAAUCAAAUUCAUAUAUUAAAAAUGCCAACAAUGGAGAUUACAAAGUCUAUAGCCGGAAUUAAGGUUUUGGCAUCAAUCUAUAUUGCUUAAUUAUUUACAGUUCAACUUUUUUUCUUGCAUUUUAUGUGAAGAUUUGAUUACUAAAAUAACUUCUCACAUGCCAUUUGCAGCUCCCAUUCUCUUUUCCGGAUGUAUAUGAUGGUCUGCAUAAGGAGUUCGCAUAUGACCAAAGCAAUGGGCUAAUUGCUUUGAGAACUGAAGAUUAUUGUGUUCAGUUUUUCAGCUUGUUUGACAACUCUGAGGUUUCGCAGGUCGGCCAUCCUAUAUAGGAGCACCUUUGGCUUGCUUUUAACUUACCAACCUUUUAUAUUUUUUCUAUGAUCCGUUUUCUCAAUUUUUGCUAGAACUGAUGGGAUCUUUUUUCUUUUUUUCCUAGGUGCAAGUAUGUGAAAGGAAUUUUCAGCCAGUGGAUGAUCCCACUGUAAGUUAACUAUCUACGCAUUUCUCAUAGUAAAUGCCACUGAAAUACUUUUGGUGGUCCGUCUGUUUUUAUUUUCAUUUCUUUGGCAUGCUUUUAAUUACACUAGCUUGUAUAUUUCCGCUACCACACAGACCAGGGCGAACAUAGAAGUAUGUAGUAUACAACAAAUAUAUAACACAACCGAGACAUUUUGGUGUGAACCAGAAUACCUAAAUGGUAGUAUUAGACUGUUGCUUUAUUGGUCUUAACUCUUAAUCUUAUGCAGUGCUUGAAAGAUUUUAGAGGGAUAUAUGAAGAAUUCUUCAAGAUAAACCAUAUCAAUUCAAUAAUGUUGAAAAUACUAUAUUGAUCUCUCCUAUUAGGAGCUGAGUUUGAGGAUAUUUGAGAAUGCUGGUUUUAGUUACAUUUCUUCAUUUUUAUGGUUACAGGUGUGUGUGGCGUUGGUUGCUCUUUCCUCUGAUGGCUUUUUGAUGUGUACUGUGGAUGUUAAGCUUCCUGAAGAAAGAUUGGGAAGUCUUGUUAGCCUAAAAUUUUGGACACGUGGCCUUCGGGUUGGUGAAUACUCCUUGUCUACUGUCAUUUAUGAGCCUCACAGGUUGGCGCACUGCUUCCAUUAGUGAAGAGCUUCAUUAUACAGCUAUUUAAUGAAAGCAUCUGACAGUAUCCUAAAGAUAAUACAUAUCACAGUAUAUAAUGAGGCACUGAGGGCAGUUCAUAAAAUAGUUGUGCCCUGUAUGCAUAGUAAACAACUUAUUAUUUAUUUCUUCUUGCAUUGUAGUCCUCCAGGUCAAAUUUGACAAAUUUUUUACAUGCUUUCAUGUUGUUUCCAAGGCCAACUGAUUUUUUAUUUUUUUAUUUUUUUUAAUCUCUGAUGCCAUUUUUCUCCUCUUAGAAUCUGGCGCUGUUAUUAUAGUUUUUCUCUGAUAAUACAACUAUCGACAUUGAAUACAGUGAUGCUGGGAUCUCAGCUGUUUGCUUCCAUCCUGGUCAAAGUAUGGCAGUAAGCUCUUCUUUUGGUGGUGACUUCAAGGUAUUUGUACUGCUUGUCUCCUACUAUGGUCUCAGUUUUGUUGGUAUACAUGAUUUGACUGUUGAAUUUCAAUUAUGUAGGUGUGGGUUCAUUCUUCUGUUAGCCGGCUAAGAGAUCAAAAGCAUGAGAAAGCUGGUUGGAGAUGCCAAUCUGUUGGUUCAUACAAGUAUGAGAUUUUAGUUUAUCAGCAUAUAGCUUUUGUUAAAAUGAAGCAACCUUUUUUGGAGUCAAAAAUGUUUUGGCAGAUUGUUAAAUGCCAUUGAUGUGAUUUAGAGGGAUUGACCAAGCUCAAGUUAACCUUGAGAUAGUAUGUUAUUUUUCUAUGUGACCUUUUUGCAAAUGUUAUUUGAUUUGAUUGGUUACGACAAGGGGACCUACCAGUGAUGGCAUGCCAUGUUUUUUUCAUUCUUUAAAUGUAUACUAUUUUUUUAUAAUGUUGCUUCAGCACUUUCUUUUGUUCUUGUUUCAUCCUGACCAUAAAUAAUUUGAUAAAAUACCCAUAAAGAGUUUAUGAAAAUUAUAUCUGAACUAUGCAGGAGAAAACCUAUGACAGCAGCAGCAUUUUCUGCUGAUGGAUCUGUUCUUGCUGUUGCAGCAGAGACUGUUAUUACAUUGUGGGACCCAGAUACUAAUAUUCUUGUUGCUGUGAUUGGGGAAGCUCUCUCGGUAAUCAUCUAAUACCCCAGCAAUAUGUACAAUUAUUACUGCUACUUAAGUAACGUCCAGAAUAGUUACCUUGACCUUUGCUUUUGGCAGCCUAUCUCAAAACUUUCCUUUGUUGGGAAAUCAGAGUAUCUCGUGUCGCUCUCCCGGAGUUCAAAACCACAGGUAGCAUUGUGGAACACUUCCAACCUAUCGAUGUACUGGUCAUACAAGCUAUUUGCUGAGGGUAUGCAUAUUUUUGAAAUAUUUUUGCUUAAUAAUACAAAUAUACAAUGAUUAUGUUGACAGCAUAUAAAUUUGUAGAACCUUUUUUUUGGUUGUUGUAGCUGUAUGUUGUGCAGGAAAUGCCCCUCAAUUUGCUAUCCUAGCCCUCUCAAGUUCUCAAAAUGACAUUGCCGUGAGAGAUCAAGAAGGGAUUAUAUUGUUAUUCGAUGUAGAAAAUCCGGUUCCUCUGACCACAUGGCUGGUGAAGAAGGUAUGUUGUUUGUUUAUUUGUAGUAGCGGUUCACUGUCUGUUAAAUAUUAAUGAAAAAUCUGAUCUUAAUCAGUAGUCGUGCCUGUAAAUAGUUUUACUGUUGAUUUAAGUAAAUUUUUUCUUUUUAAUACGUGAUUCAGGCAAAGGGUGGUGGGCUUGCUUUUGUAACUAAGGAUCAAUCUCUGCUAGUUAAUGGUUAUGAAGAUAAUGCGCGAGGAGAACCAUCAUUGCUGGCGUAUAUAAACAGCGAUCAUGAAUAUAUUGUCUUUGAUCCACACAACGAAGAUGGCCGAAUUGGCAAGAGUGCUCGGAGAAGUCAAGCUCCUCCCGAGGAAGCAGGUGAAAUUUUUGCCUGAUUUUUCUUUCCCAGAUCAUCAGCAUUUAUCAUUAUGCUUUUCUGUCCAAUUUGAUAGAAAGGAACAAAACAACAGGUUUCUGUGUGAUAAUUAUUGUAUUUAUGUAUCUGCUAUGAAACACCUAUAGAUAUAACAUUCAUAAUAUCAUCUCCAUGCGUGUUAAAAAACAUAUAUUUAAAUACUGAUAGAGAAGCGAAUUCAGAUAUAGAUAUUGCCAAUAUCUAAACAACCAUCUGACAUAUUUUUUCUGGUAGAGCUUUUCGUGUCAGUACUUUGUAUCGUGCUAUUAUAUGACACUUGCCAAAAAGGAAAUUAAAAAUGCAAUCAAUUUUGCCUUUUCUUCUGCAGUACCGAUUGGAUACACUUCAAUAUACGGGGAGCUUCCAAAAAUUGAGUCGAAUAAAGGCACGGAUUGGGAUAUCCCCUUCGUCCCAUCAGAAAGACCUUGGGAGACUAUUUUCAGCGGAUCAUCUCACGUUCUUCCGCCCCUCACGAAAUUAUGUUCGACAUUUUUGGCAUCCUUACUGGAAAAGAGACCACCGAUAGCUGAUGAAUCUUAAUCUCUUGAGAUAUCUGGUCUUUGUAUAUUGCAGCUAGUGGCAACUGAAGUUAACGAGGAAUGCACAUUAUACAUUCUCAAUGCAUUUUGCCCUCCAUGUCGCAGGAUGCAGUUAGCGAAUUCGGAAAGUUUGGCGCAUCAAAAGUGUGUUUAAUACCUCAAAAUAGGCAUUUUUGGCCGGAGAAAAUUGCUUCUUUUACUGAGGAUAAUAGAGCUUCUGUAGCCAUAUUUAUUUUGCAUACUUUAGGUCUCAAAAUUUUGUAAUCCAGCUGAGCAGUUUGUAACGUAUGAUCAUCGGUAGAGUCAUAAACCACUUUGCAGCAGCUACUGAGGAAAAUUUGGCUGCAGCAUUAUCCAUUCAAACUGUUUCUUUUUAGCGUCGUAAUUUUUAAUUUAAAUUCUUAUUUAUCGUAUUCUGUUGAGAGUUGGAGUUAAUUUUCCUUCGGGGUCGGGCUUAUUUCAUCCGCGAUGUUAUAAGUUAUAGCAUAAUAAUAUUUUCCUUGUGCUGUGGUCUUUAAAAUACUGUUCCCUAUAGCAUCAAAUGCAUUUUUUUUGGGUGAACAGUUAUUAGUAAACAAAACAUUAAUCGUCGAGAAUUUGAUAUAACUCAAAUCUAGACGAGUGCAUCGGCGGAAAAAUAUGCAUAUGUCGAGUGAAUCUAGCAAGCAAAAAGUCGGCAGCGACUUAUAUUUCGUUGCCGACUCUUGGUUCGAGCAACGACUACUGUAUUUAUUCAAUGCCCCAAGAUAAGAAAGAGAGAGCUCGGGGAUGCGUAAGCCAUUUGAGUGGCAAUAAAGAGCUGUGGAUGAGCCAUUGAUGUGGCGAACUAUACUCUCCCCUCUCCCCACUCUCCGUUUGAAACCUCUUCCUUACAAAUUGUUUCGAGAGCUCCAACUCCCAUGUGAGAAAUCGCAAUACCCAUCUCAUUUCUCCGCAAAAAGCACUUCUUUUUUUUUUUGUUUUUUAAAUUCUCCUGCUAGAAGCGCUUCUGCAAGAAUCCAUGCCAACCCUAGUCCACUCCGUUUCCCCCCUUCCGAGAAGCAGCGCCACCUCCGACGCAAACCGAUCCAAACCAUGCUUCCUCCCCCAUUCCCCCAAAACCCUAGUUUUCCCCAAAACCAGGGGCUUUUCUAGGGCUUUGUCCUCGACCCACGUCGCAACAAUCCCCUCCAAAGACGCGGGCUUUUCCCUGCCCAACUGGAGGAACGGUAAGAGCGAGUCGAGGAGCAAAGAGCUCCGGCUCCACGACGCUUUCCUUUAUUUGGAGUUCAUGGUGGGGAAAGGGCACAAGCCCGAUCCGGCGCAGGCCACUCAGCUCCUGUAUGAUCUGUGCAAGCUCAACAAGAUCCGAAAGGCGGUUCGCGUAAUGGAGUUGAUGGUCCGCUCCGGUAACACUCCCGACCACUCCACGUACACUUUCUUAGUUAACCAGCUGUGUAAAAGAGGAAAUGUUGGGUAUGCCAUGCAACUAGUCGAUAAAAUGGACGAAUACGGGUGCCCCCCGACGACGAUCACGUACAAUUCUUUGGUUAGAGGGCUCUGCGUUCAUGGCAAUUUGCAGCAAAGUCUCCAGCUUUUAGAGAGAUUGAUGCAUAAGGGCUUGAUCCCAAAUGUGUUUACUUACUCGUUUUUACUAGAAGCAGCUUAUAAGGAGAGAGGGGUCGACGAGGCCGUGAGGCUACUAGAUGAGAUCAUGCGUAAGGGCGGGAAACCUAAUUUAGUUAGCUAUAAUGUUCUCCUCACUGGUUAUUGCAAGGAGGGUCGGUUAGACGAGGCCGUGAGUUUCUUUAGGAGUUUACCGUUAAAGGGGUUUAGUCCGAACGUGGUUAGCUAUAACAUUUUGCUGCGGAGUUUGUGUUACGAGGGGCUGUGGGAGGAGGCGGAGGAGCUUUUAUCCGAGAUGGGCGAUAGGGAUUGUUCUCCGAGUAUUAUAACGUACAACAUUUUGAUCGGGUCGCUUGCCUAUAAUGGUCGGACGGAGCAAGCGCUAGCGAUUUUGGAGGAGAUGGCGAGGAAUCGGUUCAAGCCCGUGGCUGCGAGCUAUAACCCUAUAAUUGCGCGGUUUUGUAAGGAGGGGAGAUUGGAUAUGGUGUUGAAAUGCCUUGACAUGAUGAUGCAUAAGAAUUGUGCUCCAAAUGAGGGCACUUAUAAUGCCAUUUCCGUGCUUUGUGGGGAAGGGAAGGUGGUAGAAGCCUUCUCCAUACUCCAAAAUUUGGCGAGUAAGCAGAACGCUUCGAUGCAUGACUUCUACCGAAACGUGAUUUCGUUCUUGUGCAAGAAAGGAAACACUUAUGCGGCGUUCCAACUUCUGCACGAGAUAACGAGGCACGGGUUUGUUCCUGAUAGUUAUACUAAUUCAUCUCUGAUUAGAGGUCUUUGCAUGGAGGGCAUGUUGGAUGAGGCUAUCGAAAUAUUCGAAGUGAUGGAGGAAAAUGGUAGCGGGCCUGAUUUAGACAAUUAUAAUGCGCUAAUACUCGGGUUAUGCAAGGCGCAGAGAACGGAUCUAUCGUUCGAUAUAUAUGAAACUAUGAUCGAGAAAGGCUAUGUGCCUAAUGAAACGACGUAUACAAUCCUCGUUGAAGGGAUUGCUCACGAGGAUGAAACGGAUUUGGCUGCGGAGGUUUUGAAAGAAUUGCAUAUGAGGAAUGUUAUAAGCCAGAAUACCAUGGAGAGAAUCACUAUGCAGUAUGACUUGGAAUAGCUUUUGUUUCUUUUUUGGGAAAUCGAGGGCAAAAAAUGCGAGAAAAAAGAUUUUAGUGGUUGGUUGAGGAACUCGGUUUCGAAGUUGUAGCAUAAAGAGUUGGCUCCUUUGCCAUUUUUCCGGAUCCUGACAUGUAUCUUAAGUCCUGCUUUGGUUGAUCAAAUCCUAAAGCUGAACACAAUCAUAUAGGCAUGAAUGUGUUUCCCUGAAUCCUGAUGGAAGAGUCAUACUUAAGAGCUUCAGAUGCUUACUUUUCUUAAUUGAGAAUGUUCAGCUUAAUUGUGUAGGAUGGAUUGUUACCUCACUCAUCCCAGUGGUUCAUGUUGUGGUGAUGCUUAAAAUUGACCUUUUACUGUUUGAGAGAGUGGUUAGAUUAUCAGCUAACUGGUUUGUAGAUACAUAAUAUUACUCAAAUAUGAACUUUUUGAUGCCAUGAGAACACUACUAGAUAGAUGCUGUGAAUCAUAUAUUAAACAUGAAUGAUGAUCCAACAUUUCUCUUUUCAUCCAGUUGUGUACUUCAUUUCUAUCAGAGUAUAAGAUGCUUGUAUUUCCUCCGAAACUAUCUAAUUUGUGAUGGUUGUUUUUCCACCAUGAAAUGAAGAGACUUUUUUAGAAUUAAGGUGUGCCGAGUAGGUAAGGGUUAUUAUAUUUUUAUGAGUAUAUAUCUUUUUUGUAUUCAUAAAUUUUUACUGUUGAAUGAAAGGAGUGCGGUUAGAAUGAUAGUGAUCUCUGAUUAGAUCGAGUGGAUGGUUGGUUAAAUAGUAUAAUUUAACAGAUAAAAAUGAUAAAAAAAAAUAAAUAUAAUGAUCGAAAAUUUAUAAAUAUAAAAAAAUUUAUGCUCAUAAGAGUAUAAUAGUCCACGUUAGUAAAUUUUUACAAUUUAUUAUUAUUUUUUUUCCUCUUAGUGAGCACGUACUAUCCUAAACUGACCAUACACAACCAAACUCGCAUCGUAGCCGUUCAAUAUUAUAUACACAAACUUUGGGCACAAAAUGAACGGUCAGGGAAAGUCCCACUGCGCGAUUCGCUCACGACCGUUCAUCACGACUUACGAGCGUUCGCUUCUCCGUCGUUCCAAACCCUAGCACUAUAAAUAUGUACGGCUCCCUGUUGUUUUCGUUUCUUUUGUUCUCGAAGCCGCUCCAAGGAGAGAGUUGAGAGGCGGAGAUCGGCGUAGUUUCGAGAGCUCGCGGGUUGAGACGAUGAGGGCGAAGGUGAGAUCGCUUUGAUCCCUUCCUUUUUUUUUCCCGCGGUUCUUUGAAUUGAUUUGAUCUUGUGUAUCCAUCUGUGAUCGAUCUAAUUAUUUUAGGGUUUUUUUUGAGUUCUAUUGGUGUCGGUUUAGGAGCUUGUGAUGUACGAUUUUUGCAUGUUUUUGGAUGUCCUUUCAAUGUUUGAGUUUAGUUCGGUGGUUGAUCUCGUAACUAUCUUUGUUGAGGAAUCUUGGAUUAUUUGUUUCUUUCAUUGCUUACAUUUACUGUUUUGAUUUUUCAUAAUCCGUGGGUUAUGGGUUAUAUGAUUUUCCUUAUGCUUAUACCUUUGACUCCUUUGUAUUCUUUGAUUUGUGAGAUUAUUGUUGUUUAUUGUAGUAGAGAAUAAUGUUCAAUAAGAUUUUGUAUUCGGGUUGUUAGGCCAAUCGAAUAGUUUUAUGUAUUUAUUCCGGGAUUGCGUUAGAAUUUUAUUGAUAAAAAUUGGAAAUUGUUUGACAAAGUAUUAUGGACUUCUAGAUCAUUAUUUUAAAAAAAAAACAAAUUUAUAUUCUAGAAAUCUUCUGAGGGUAGACAUAAGAUGGCCACAAUUUCAAUCCGGGAUGUUGAAAUUCUUGGAAAACUCUGAAAUAUAUCAUUAACUCGCAACCAUCUUACGAGGUGUUGUGGAUGUUGCAACCAUGAAUUCCUUAUUUGGGCACAGAAGAGAAUAAUGCUACAGUCUUUAGGUGGCAGAUCAGAUGUGGGCAUUGUGUUUGUGGAUGGAAUCAAAUUAUUUUGAUCACCUUCUCUGUAUGCAUGAAUCGUAGCCCACUUUGAAGUACGUGAUGUUUGGAAAACAUGUGGAACCAUAAAAAGAAUUAUCAGAUGUGUCUUAUUCUGGCACGUCAUUCACAUAACUGUCAGAUACCAGUGAUGGUGCUUUGAGUAAAUAUUUUGCUGUGAUAAAGGGUGCUUUUGAGUGAGGCAUGCAUAAUAGAAAUGUUUCUGAGCUUCUCUUGGUGUAUGUGUGAUCCAACUAAGGGUGCGUUUGGUUCGCGCUAUCUUUUAAAGAUUCCUAGUAAUGCAAUGGGAAUAAAAAAUUAUGACGGUGUUUGGCUAAAUGCACUAAGUAAUCUAGUUGGUAAUAUUGGAUUCACUUGGGAAUAAGAUUCACCCCAAAGUACUAAUCUCAUUCCCUUGAGGGAGGGUGGGUAUCCUCAUAUUAAUGGAUUGGGGUAAUCAUAAUAUGUCUAAUCUCUUUCUUUCUUCCUACCCGUCGGCUAAUUGAUAUUAUUUGUCUUUACACUCUAACCUUAUAUCUCUCUCUAAACUUAUUUUUCUCUUUAAAAUUUAACUUUUUUUUCUCUCUCUAAACUAAGCUUUCUCUCUCUCUCUUUUUAAAAUUUCAACUCUCUCACUCCCUCUAAUUUUGACUAUAUUUUUCUUUCUAUUUUUUUAAUUAUGCUCUCUCUCUCUAACUUAUACUCUCUCUCCCUUUUUUCUAAAAAGAUGUUGAAACUUUUGGUAACAUUAUCUAAAAUUAAUUAAAUUAAUUAAUUAAUUAAUUGUAUAUUUUUUGUAAUAUUAAAUAAUAUGGUUAAUUAAUAUUACCUCGCGAACCAAACAUAGGAAUUUCGCAUUCUUAGUAAUAGGAUGAAUAGGAAUAAGAUUCUCGGAUAUCUUUUAUUCCUAGUAAUCUUUCAUAAUGCGAACCAAACGCACCCUAAAAGUUAAAUCCUAUUUAGUAAGAUGUAAAGGAAGAGAUUUAGGGGGGACUAGGAAGAUACUUCAGUUAAAAAUAAUUUUUGUUCUCUUCGGAGGAAAGUAGGAAGAUUAGGUCUGGUUGUAUCUUGGACUAUUGUUAAUCCUGUUUAAUGCUUUGUGUGCAAUUGUUUAUUGAUAGUAAGAUAAACUUCAAUUUCCCCCCUUGUGGUUUAGCUCAUUUUUCCAUUAUGUGGUUCAAAAAAUUGCACUUAACUACUAUAUUUUUUUUUCUCUAUUCUUAUCCAAUAAAUCUACUAACAAAUCGGGUAGCAAAGUGAAAUUUUUUGAUAACCACAUGAUAAUUAAGUAUAACUUUUUGAACCAUUGAGUUGGAAACUGAACAUGAGUUAAACCACGGAAUGGUUGAGUGCUAUUUUUUGAACCACAAGAUAAUAAAGUAAUAAUAAGCUAAACCACAAAAGGGCAAAUUGAAGUUUACCCUUGAUAUUAUCGGCGGCUGUGACUCGUUGGACUCUUGCAUUCUGACAUCGCAAAUUGUAGAAAGGUUUUUGUAUUAUUCCUUGUCCUCGACACUUAUCGGGGGUCCCAAAAUAUUGCCCGCACCAAGUGCAUCCGUAAGUCCGUUUACCAUGCAAUUAGAGACUUUCCUCUUUUUCUUAGUUACUUGGAUGGCUGGAUAGGUUUUAUGAGAUUGAUGGAUAAACGGUGGAGGAUGAUUAUGCCCAAACACAAGGUGUAGGCUAUCAAUUUUCUCCGAGGCAAGUAGUAAAUAAAGAACUUUCAAAAGUUUGAGGUGAAAUUCAGCAACCGGGUGGUGCAAUUGACCAUUUGUUACUCAGUUACAAUAUGUCCUGCAUGUGCUUUUGUUAUCUAAAAUGCCGUUUCAAAAUUAUCUGUUUGUUGUUCCAUAUAAUGGAGAAUAAUUAUUGGUUUGUAUUUUUAUCUUCUUCAGUGGAAGAAGAAGCGCAUGAGGAGGCUCAAGAGGAAGCGCCGAAAGAUGAGGCAGAGAUCCAAGUAGACGAAGGGACGGAUUCAAGGGCUAUCUCCUUUGGUUUUUUUUUCCUUUUUAUAUAUAUUUUUCCCCCUCCUUUGAGAGGCCUCUAGACUUGCGUUUUGUCGAGUUAAAAAUGUUCUAACUUUCCUUCAGACCAUGAAAACCAAGACGUUUUAUUUUGAGUUAUGAUGAGUCCCCGUUCGGGGACUAAUCUAUGAGCUUCCGUUUGCUUCGGUGUUAAGGGGUGAAGUUAUUUCCAAACAUCUAAUUUUGGGGGUGGUGUUAGCUAACUCCAUCCCGGCUAUUCUAAAUUACUCUAAUUUCAUCUUAAUUCUUAACUUAAUCUUAUUCUUGAAAUAAUAAAUUUUUACUUAAUCCUGAACCAAACGAUAGCUUAGUUUCUCUCUUCUCUUUGGAUUGUGCGCACGCCUGUUGAUGCGAAGCAGAUGGUUUCAUCGCGAUACUACCCAGGUUCAGGUUCUACGUAUGCAUCAUAUGAUGGAACUGAAAUUGGAGCGUUAUUUAUGUAGAAGAGCUUCUUACGUAAUUUCCGUGAACCAAUGAUUACACAACACUCCCUUUCCCCUUCAGCAAGAUUCGUGUUAAUAACCUCUCAAAAAUCAAUCCUCCUCUUUGCCGUCCGCACAAUUUUUUACCUCAAUGCUACAUGUAUAUCUAAAUGUGCGAGAUUUGCACCACAUAAUUAUUUUUUAUUAGUCUAGGUCUUUUUAAUAUUAAAAAAGAAAUGGAAGGAGAUUUUGUGAAUCCAAGGACGAGCGAGGUGCUAGAUUUUUAAUCUGUAUACUAGGAAUAUAUAUGUAGUAUGUUUUAUUUUGUGAAUCAUCAUAACAGAAAAGAUUAAAAAGAAAUCACAUGUUCCGAUCUUAUAUAUUUGAAGAGAAGCUGUUAACUUGGCAUUUUGUCCUCUGUUUCCUAACACGAACGCAAUUCCAAUUUCUUGAUCUCUGUCGCAGCUUCCCCCCCACCCCCCCAACUGCCAAAAGGAGAGAAACAUUCCAAAAUCCAAACCGAGACAUUGACCCGCGGGUGAAUUUGCAGGAGAAUCCCUGCACAAUCCAGGUAUUGCUUUGUCGCUUGCUACAGUACUCGUGACGUUUUGUUUUGAUAGGUGGUUUUCACGGACCUAACACAACAAUCGGAUACCGAUCCAAUUAUAUUCCAACGGCUAGUUCAAGCACCCGCCUCCCCCACCUUCGACAGCGCCUACUCCAUAAAAAGAUGAAAAAGCAAUCAUCUCGUGAUUUUUGUGCAGAUUCCUCCUUACUAUAACUGUUUAUAAUAAUAAGGCCCGUGUUUUAUUCACAAACUAUGAUACGUUGCAUAAAUCGCGAUAGCUUACUGAGGCACGAUGAUAACAAACCGGUUCUUUAUUUUAUGCAUCACUAUAACGCCAGUACUAGUUAAAAUGUUUUAGAUUCCAUUUGAGGCAAGGAAAAGUAUAAAUCUAUACUUUUUGAUUUUUUAGCGUGAUGAGCUAGUUUAGGAUUAUCUUUUUCUUUUAUAUAUAUAUAUUUCAAAAUAUUUAAAGGAGAGAAAAUGUACGUCUGAGUAAACAUAGAAAUUAUUUGUUACUGGACAGUAAAAGUUGAUCUCAUCUAAAAGAGGAGAUACCAAAAAAAAAGAGAUGGAAAAAGGAAAAGGAGGGAGCAAAUGAAUAAAAGGAAAAGGAGGAAACAAGAUAAUGGCUCUCUUCUUUGAAUCUUUCAUGCAUUUCAUGGCUCACAGAGUUUGCUUUAAUUAUGACACCAUAAACUAGAAAAUAAUCAUUGCAAGACACAAUGCUUAUUUUGUACAAGCAUUGCUCAAAUUAUUUUUAAAAUGAUUUAUAAUUAGUAAUCCUAAUCGAGUGAUUUCAUUAAUUACUUAGUACGGCUAAACUCAAAACUUUGAUCCCUUUCACAAAGAUUUUAUAUAGUAACUUUUCAAACUAAAAAGAGGAAGUAUAUAUAUAGGAGUUAAAACACAUCUUAAAAAGAUAAUAUUUAAUAGAGAAAUAAAUGUACAGUUUUUUUUUCUCUAACUUCACAUGCGCACUUGGACUUGCAUACAUUUACUAAAUUAAGAGUAAGUGCUCUCGACACUACAGGGUUAUUAAAUGUGCAUGACCCUCGCAGGUACUGUAAUUCGCUCUGUGGAAAAAAGGUGGUCAAAUUUCUAAUAAGGAGACCACUAAGAAAUGUAAAUAUGUAAUAAAUAGGGUGGUGAUGAUGAGCUACGAGAGCAUUGAAUGAGCAUGGAUCCAACUCCACCUUUUUCAAAUCAUUAAAUUGCACAAAAUCAUACUGAUAAUAAUGCUAUUCACAUUUUGAGAUAGAGAGGAGUAGAAUCUGAAAAAUAAAAACUAUUUUAUGAAAAUAUUUUUACAAAUCAUGAAAUGUUGGUCUUUGACUUACUGUAUAUCAUGUCUAAAAGAACCAAUUAGUUUACUUAUAUUCUACUUUUAUCUAGUUCUCAGAAGCGUGCCUAGUAUUUUAUUCAAAGUAGUAUUAUGGUUUCAGUAUAUUUGUUUCUAUUACAAUAUUGCGAAUGAAAGCUAAAAUUUCUAUACAUAAUAUGGAUAAUAUUAUCAAUGGAAGCACAUUUUAAUAUUGACCAAAAAUUAAAAGUAUUUUUAGUAUUUAAUACUAUACAGGUUUAAUAGUCCAAAAACUCGCAGAUCCUUAUUGGCUAGUAGUAGAAAUUUCUUUUAUAUCACUCUCGUAAUUUUUGUUUUUAAUAGCUAUAUUCAAGCAAAAGCUAAUGAUAAUAUAUAUAUAAAAAAAAAUCCAUUAAUUUGUGGGGUGCAUCAUUCAUUGCAGAGGAAACACUUUUGUGCACCAUUUGUUGAGAGUGGACCCAUUUUGGUAUAUUCCAUCCAAAUAAAGUUUUUUUUAAAAAAAAAAAACUAAGAACACACUGAUCAAACGGCUAGUGUAGCUCUCUGGUUACUGGUACAGUGAUCCAACGGUGGGCUCACAAAGUAAACUACAGCGUUAUUUUUUUGGACUCACACCGCGUCCACUACCGUAUAUUAAAAUAAAAAAUAAAUUAGAACGUUGGAGAGAGAAUCAAUGCACAGUUCCCGAGGUGGUGAACCGAGCCCUAACCAUUAUUCUCCUCGCCCUUUUCGUUUAUCUGUAUUAGGAGAACUUAUUCCCUGCACCUGAUAUAUCCCAACGCUUUGUGAACCUCAUUGUAUGGUUGUGAAAUGGUCUGUUCAAAAUUAUGAAUAUUAAAUUCACCUAUUUUUAGGUGUGUAUUGUUUUAAAUUUAAAGCAUGAAAUUUGCAAAUUUGAAUGUUAAAUUAUAUUUAUUAUUAUUCACUGGAUACGGUUCACGAUACGUACGGAUGAACCGCGUCCACGCGUAGUUUCUCCUUUAUUGCACUUGAGCCUUUUUUUGGGUAAAUGCUGAGGUGUUGGGGUUUCCACUCUCGGGCUGGUGCAGAGAGAAAUUAUUUCGUGCACCGGGUGUAUACACUAUAUCUAACUCAUUAGAUUUGGGCAUAAAUAAAAGGGAAACUUCAAAACCCCCCUGUGGUUUCAUUGUUUCUUACUUUAGUACCCUGUGAUUUAAAGUGUAUCAAUUUGCCCCUCUGUGGUUUCGUUUUUAUCUUUUCGGUAGCUUUUUUGUUAAUAUUUUAUUAAAGGAAAAACUUCAAAAACUCCCCUUGUGGUUUCACACUUUUUCAUUUUAGUACCCUGUGGUUUAAAGUGUAUCAAGUUAGUACCCUGUGGUUUCUUUAUCACUUUAGUACCCUGUAGUUUAAAAUGUAUCAAAUUAGUACCCGGUGGUUUUGCACUUUAUCACUUUAGUACCCUGUGGUUUCACACUUUAUCACUUUAGUAUCCUGUGAUUUAAAAAACCACAGGGUACUAACGUGAUACAAAAUUAAAACCACAAGGUACUAAAGUGAUAAAAUGCAAAACCACAUGGUACUAACUUGAUACACUUUAAACCACAGGGUACUAAAGUGAUAAAGUGAGAAACCAUAGGGUACUAACUUGAUACAUUUUAAACCACAGGGUAUUAAAGUGAAAAAAAUUGAAACCACAAGGAGGGUUUUUGAAGUUUUCCCUUUAUUUAUUAAAUUAUAUACAAAAAAACUUCAGAUACCUAUCUAGAUUUAUCAAAUAUUCACUUUAGUAUUCUUUAAUUUUAACUUUAUCACCGAUUUAAGAAAAAAAAAUAAUGAAAUUGAUAAGAAAAAGAGAAAAAAGAAACCACAGAAGGACAAAUUGAUACAUUUUAAACCACAGGGGGGCAAAGUGAGAAACUAUGAAACCACAUGGGGGGUUUUUGAAGUUUUUCCUAAAAAUAAAUACACUGUUGUUAAUGAUAUGAUAAUUAAACAUAGGCUCUUUGAAUAUUAUACAUGGAUUAGAUUUCGCCAUAGAUGAUAAUAAUAAUAAUAAUAAUAAUAAUAUAAUAUAAUAUAAUAUAAGGUGUAGUGUACAAAGUGUAUGUAUACACACAGUGUAGGCAACAAUUUAUCUCUGCAAAGGAGGUUUAUAAAAUAAAAUAAAAUAUAAAAACUUCAUAUAUACCCCCACACGGGCCACACCUAAAACGGACUACAAAUAAAGGCUCUAAUAAGAUGCUCUCUCUCUCUUUCCUCUCUCUCUUUUGUUUUCACCCAUGGCUUCUUUUAGAAGCCCCAAUGCAUUGCAUUAAUUACUUGAGCCCCAUCACAGUGGGAGAAUGGAGGAGUUAAACCCUUCUCUAUUUGUGGGGUUUUUACUUCCUCUUUUUGGUGAUGUAGUGUGGUGAGGAGGCCUAAAAGAGGAGUUUUGUGAGCUGGGCUUGGCUCCUCUGGGGGCUAUCUCAACUGGGUUUGCUUUUGUUUCUGCUGGGGAGUGGAAAGAAGGGUGAAAGAUGGGAUUUUGCUUGGUGGGUUUGUGUCCUUCUUUGGUUUUCUCAGCUGGGUUUGUGUGGGGGGAUUGAAGGUGUUGUAGGAUCUGGAUGUCUCUUGUGGUGCCAGGGUUGCAGUUCCAUUAAAUGGAGCUCAUUUUUUGGAUCAAUUUGUUGGUCCUUUCCUUUUCACUUCUCUGUUUGGGAGGCCUCUCCCAAGAGGAUGGAGCUGUGUAUAUUGUGACAAUGAAGCAGGCCCCUGCAGUUCAUUACAACAGUGACUUGAAGAGGUUUGGGAGUAGUAGCUCAACUAAAGGAGGAGUCUCUGGGACAACGAAUAUCCUCAACAAGCCAAGGUGCUUUUUUUUUUUUGCUCCCCCCCCCUCCACUUGCAUUCUUUUUUGUUCUUAUGAACAUUGCAAUUUUUCUCAAGUUGGUUAAAUUUGUUUGUCUCAGUAAGAAUAAUGGGUUUUACUGCUGUAAAAAUCUUCAAGGUGGUGUUCAACUGACAAGUACUGUAAUCAGGGAAAUAUAAUAAUAGUGUUAGGUAAUUGGAAUUUGCUACUAAUUAUAUCCUUAGGGGGAGUUCUAUGGCUUAAUUACGCCAUCGAAGUCGUGUUCGUAAUUGUACUAUAAUCAAGUAGAGGUAGGUAUUUUGACUGCAUUCUUGUUCUAUUCCUCUCCCUAAUCUAAAGAAUGAUUCUGGGCUUAAUCUGCAUCCUGCUUAUCUACUGUGAUUUUUGUUCCUAUGACUUUUACUUGGUUUAUUGAGUUUCAUGCCUAUAUUUGUGGUCCAUACGCUUUAAAUAUUUCUGUCCCAGGUGUAUGACUCUGUGUAAAUGCAAAUGCAGGAAUUCGACAGCGUAUUCAGAUUACAGCUCAUAUUUGGUCCGUCUUCAAAAUUCGCUAUUGAAGAAGGCAUUAAAAGGGGAGCUCUAUCUAAAGCUAUAUAGCUAUCAUUAUUUGAUUAAUGGGUUUGCUGUCCUUAUCACUCCUCAACAGGUAAAUUUUUGCGUCCUCUUUGAGCCGUUCUUUCGUAGCCUUGACUUGCUCCCGUGGUAUCUUGUCACAGUCAUGUUAUAGUAUCUGAUCUUUUUUUUUUUUUUUUGAUCCAUUUUAAAGGCAGAAAAGCUCUCUAGAAGGAGAGAAGUAGCAAAUGUAGCUUUGGACUUCUCAGUAAGGACUGCCACUACACAUACACCUGAAUUCCUAGGUUUGCCGCAAGGCGCAUGGGUUCAGGAAGGUGGGCCCGAUGUUGCUGGCGAAGGAAUAGUCAUUGGUUUUAUCGACACGGGCAUUGAUCCGACUCAUCCCAGCUUUGCCGACGAUCUUUCUACGAAUGGCUACCCCGUUCCUGCCCAUUUUUCUGGUGUUUGUGAAGUAACAAGGGAUUUCCCUUCUGGGUCCUGUAAUAGAAAGCUUGUCGGUGCUCGCCAUUUUGCUGCUUCUGCUAUAACUAGGGGAAUCUUCAAUUCUUCGAAGGAUUAUGCUUCGCCAUUUGAUGGUGAUGGCCAUGGCACGUAAGUUCUCUACUUAAAUUUUGUAAUCUGUGUACUGUUCUAUGUACUAUUAGAAUUGUAAAAUCUCUUCCCCAGCUUCUCUACUUUCUUGCUAUACAUGCAUGCACAGAAGCAUAUAUAACGUGCACGCAUGCAUGCGUGCAUAACAUCGAUUGGCUUUAAUUAUAGAUGAGUUCAUACUUUUACCAGGGUUUAUAAAUAUCCCUUUUUCGUCUUUUGGCUCUGGCAAGCUGUCAGAGUAAAAUUAUUCAUUCCAAUCCAUAUGUGUGAAAAAUUAGAACUUUGUAUAUUGAUUCUUUUGUUGAGUUUUUAACUUGUGGUUCAAUCAGUACUGGCUAGAUUGCUCUAUGGUUGCUUAUGCAUUGCGAACUUCAUACAGGCACACAGCUUCGAUUGCAACUGGUAAUCAUGGAAUUCCUGUUAUUGUGGCUGGGCACAACUUUGGGAAUGCAAGUGGCAUGGCGCCUCAUGCACAGUAAAUGUCGAAUUCUACUUUUGUCCUUUGUAAAUCAGUUAUUGUGUUGUACUCAUACUGUUGCGACCUGUCUUUCACUUUACAGCAUUGCUGUUUAUAAAGCUCUUUACAAAAGCUUCGGAGGCUUUGCUGCUGAUGUAGUUGCUGCUAUUGACCAGGUAAAUGACGCCCGCACAUGAAUUUCGCUCUUUCUGGAAGUGUUUGUACAUAGAAUUUUUUUUUUCAUAAAGUGACUUCACAGGCAGCUCAAGAUGGUGUUGACAUUAUAAGUUUAUCCAUCACCCCUAACAGACGCCCUCCCGGAAUAGCAACAUUCUUUAAUCCUAUCGACAUGGCGUUGCUUUCUGCGACAAAAGCUGGAAUCUUUGUGGUGCAAGCGGCAGGAAAUACUGGGCCUUCUCCCAAAAGCAUGUCUUCCUUUAGCCCGUGGAUAUUUACUGUAGGUGCUUCUGCUCAUGAUAGGAUCUAUAAUAAUUAUCUGGUUCUUGGCAACAACUUAACCAUUUCGGGAGUUGGUCUCGCUCGUAAGUUUUCCAAUUCAUGCUUGCUGCUAUUAUUAUAUGUGCGGUUUUAUUGCUUUUGUUCUGAGUCUGAAUUUCUUCUUGCUAAUCUCUAUAAAUGUACCUCUCAUCACUGUUUUGAAGUUGAUUACACCACUAAGCACUAAACUUACUUUGUGGAGUUUCACUUAUGUCACAUAACCACAAAGCAAGACACCAAAAUACUUCAAUUUUUAUAACCAAUUUGGUCAUUUCGUCAAACUCCGUUUGAUUUUUCAAAAUGGAGGAAUGGCGUGACAACUGAAUCAUAAUGGUAUUGAGAUGACAUGGUAACUUAAUGUGCUGCCUUAUCAUCACCAGCAAAUCUCUCGGAGACUACAUGUAAGUGGAGUUUCAUAGAGUGACCUGGUUGAAAUAGAAACUGAAGUUCUGCAUGUCAACUGUAACAAAGUGAAGUUUUGUCACCUUAUUUUAAUUUCAUGAUAAUUUCGGUGAACUAUGGCGUGUUAAUGAUUUUAAUAAUCCUCUGAUUCUUCUAAAAUUUUUAAUUACAAAGAGAUUGAAGCUUGUGUUACUAAAUGUUCUGCUUAACUUGAUCAUACAUGCAGCUGGGACAGAUGGCGACUCGAUGUACACUCUCGUCGCUGUAACUCAUGCAUUAAAAAAUGAUACGACUAUAUCUACUGACAUGUAUGUGGGAGAAUGCCAAGACCCAACUCAUCUAAAUCAAGAUGUAAUCAAAGGAAAUCUGUUGAUCUGUAGUUAUUCCAUUCGAUUUGUGCUUGGCCUGUCCUCAAUCAAACAAGCUUUAAACACGGCAAAAAAUGUUUGCGCAGUUGGAGUUAUAUUCUACCUGGAUCCAUUUGUUAUCGGGUUCCAGCUCAAUCCGACUCCUAUGGAUAUGCCUGGCCUGAUAAUACCAUCUUCUGAUGAUUCUAAGGUAUGGCAAUCACCUUGUGAUACACCAUUAUUUCAUUUGAUACUGAUCGAAUGCUCUGUAACAUCCAUGUAGAUUUUUCUGGAGUAUUACAAUAACUCGUUGGUGGGAAAUCAAACCUCUGGAAGAAUUGCUAGGUUUGGUGGGGUUGCGAAAAUAUUAGGAGGCCUAGAGGCCAAUUACAGCAAACCUGCGCCAAAAGUAAUGUAUUAUUCAGCUAGGGGACCGGAUCCUGAGGACGCUUCUCUUUCUGAUGCUGAUAUCAUGAAACCCAAUCUAAUAGCCCCUGGUAAUUUAAUAUGGGGUGCGUGGAGUUCAUUGGGCACGGACUCUGCUGAAUUUGAAGGUAAAUUUCUACAAAUUCAACCUCUUGUACGUCAUUGCCUUCUCCCUUUAUCCUUGGGGGAAAAAACUAGACUCACUAGCAUGUUCCCAGGGUAUCACUAGGUUGUCCAGCUUAUAAAGUUCAUAAUUAGACGUCCAAAUUAUACCAACAUUGUUGAGGGUGAUGAAUGAAGUAUCUGACAAUCCGAAUCCAGGGGUUUAUAUACAUAUUAGCAUUCUGUAGCUCUACUUAACAAAGCCGGUUGUAUGAUUUUCAGUAAUUCAGCAAAUGUUUUCCUUUGAUAUUCUAUCUAUAUGACUUAAGUGUUUCAAUAUAUGGUGUACUUCUUUUGCUACAUUGUGUAGCGAAUGGUGUUGUUUACGAUCAUUUUCUCCCUUUUCAUUGGUUUACCCACUGUGCACAUCUAUAUGCUGGUCUGUAAAAUACAGAAAACGCCAUGUAUGCAGACAUAAUAUGUGUACAUUUAUGUUUUCUACUAAAAUUUGUCUACAUACUAAGGUUAGGGAUUUAUCAUUCCAUUAACAAAUUAGUGGUCACUUGUUCUUCAUUUUCAACAUAACUUCGAUAAACAAUUGUAAAAAGGUCUGCUUGGCAAGAAGAAACCAAACUUGCUCGUUUUGAGCUUGUGGGUGAUGCUAAUGUCAAACUCCUCUCAGCAGGGCAUCAAAAUUUUCUUUUUUUUUUUAAAAUUUUUUUUGAGAGAUAGGUAGCACGCUACCUGCUUCGUUUAUUUCAUUUAGAAAUAAACUUAGCUGGAAAUGUGAAUCAACUAGUAUUCGAAGUUGGGUCUUGGGUACCAACCAUCAAAAUUUUCAUUACCAGGAAAUACAAUAUAUUAACUUGUGAUUUCCCCCUAACCCUCUAUAUUCCUAUGAUUUUACUUACAAUCGAGGUUUUUCGUGGUAUUUCUUAGGUGAGAACUUUGCAAUGAUCUCUGGCACAAGUAUGUCUGCUCCCCACAUUGCUGGGCUGGCUGCUUUAAUCAAGCAGAAGUUUCCCAGUUUCAGUCCGUCGGCCAUAGCUUCUGCACUCUCCACAACUGCUACAUUAUAUGACAGGCAAGGCGGUCCGGUCAUGGCUCAACGGUCUUAUAGCAACCCAGAUUCGACUCAGUCGCCUGCUACACCCUUCGACAUGGGCAGCGGUUUUGUUAAUGCUACUGCUGCUUUAGACCCCGGACUCAUUUUUGAUUGUGGUAUGUUCUAAACUAAAAUUUCUGUAUUGUGACUCAAAUACUAGCUGUAGUAUAAAUUUCCAACUUCAUUUUGGAAAAAAAAAAGAAAAAAAUAAUCAUGAGGAGAAAGUUGGUUUGCAAAAUUGAACAAUGAAAGCUUCUAACUGCACUGUUAUUUUUUUAUUUUGCCUUUCUAUCAAUUUCUCCUUAAAAUUUUUUAUUUUUGAGUGCCCCCAGAUGUUUUCUCUUUAUACUAUGUGUACGAAAAAUAACUAGGCCUUGAAAAACUUUAUAUUGCAACAUGUGAUUUUCAUUUUACCCUUUCAAAACGGUAAUUUCCUAUGCAUAUAUCCUCGUACUCACAAGAGUGAAAAUGCACUUCUCUUCUUUUUUGUUUUUUUACUUUUCUUUUCCUUCAUUAUACUGCUUUAAAAAAAUUUGCGGGGUUAGGCGAUUAUAGCUUCCCUUACUUUUUAAUUACUGCUUUUGAUACAUGUGCAGGUUAUGACGACUACCUUUCCUUUCUUUGCGGCAUCAAUGGAUCUGCGCCAGUAGUUCUGAACUACACAGGAAAUACCUGUGGGAUUUCAACAACGACUGGGGCCGAUUUAAAUCUCCCCUCUAUCACAAUAGCACUGCUCAACCAAUCAAGAACUAUAAUAAGAACAGUCACCAACAUAGCUAAUAAUGAAACUUACACACUCAGUUGGAGCGCGCCUUAUGGCGUCUCCGUCUCGGUCCAACCCCCACAGUUUUUUAUCGCCAGCGGCCAAAAACAGAACUUGACCUUUGCUUUUAAUGCUGCAAUGAAUAGCUCCUCCGCAAGCUUUGGAAGAGUUGGGUUCUAUGGUAGCCAAGGCCACAAGUCGACUAUUCCGUUGUCCGUCGUCUCGAAGAUAACAUAUAACCAUACAGUAAGCUGACUAUAUAACCAUACAGUAAGCUGACUUGUAUGCGGACCUCUGUUGCUUUUGCUUUUCCUUUUCCUUUCAAGUUUGACCCAUUUUUUUUGUGUUUAUUGAUUUUGGUGUACAUUUUGAAGAAUGUGAGUGUAAUCUUUGACCAUUGCCACUAAUUUGUACAGAUGGCUUAAGUUUUCAGUAGCCCGGGGGCCAGCGGUGUCGCCGAAAUGUUGUUGUUGAACAAUUUGUUGUGGAUUUGCUUUUUGGCUCAAACAUGAAUUGAGUUACUUGCAUUUUUAGAAAGGUGAGUUAUCUUAGCAUAAGCUCUAGCUUGAGGGACAAAAAGAGAUCUUUUGGGGUAUAUAAGUUUAGUAUCAAUCUUUAUCUACUAUAUAUAUUAUACUAUUCUGGGUUAGAAAUUGAGAAUGAUGGAUUGUUGAUUUUAUCACAAUACUGUUUGUGGGAUUCUGUAAUAAUAGAUUAUAAGAGUGAAGCUGAGAGAGAAUGGAGAUCAAAGUUACUAUUGAUACUGAUGUAUUGAAACUGAUUAUUAUUACUAACAAGUUUGAUUAAUGAAUAGGAAAAACAGUUUUGUUAAUAUUAUUACUUUUGCAUAAUUUUGGUUAAUCCAUGCACAAAAUAAGGAAGAAUAAAGCAAGGGCCAAAGUUUGCGGAAAUAUUUUCACCUACUUAAAUAGAAGCAAUCAUUAUUAUUAUUAAUAUUUCCACUUGAUGGAGGAACCGAAAUUGCUGGUGAACACAUUGCUUCUGAAUGUUCCACAUUCAGAAGUUAUUUUCAGCAACAGCACAAAGUUUAUUAAAAUAAAGGAAAGGAGUUCCUUGUGGGCUUAGCUUUUGGAAUAAAUUUUUCACUCAAAUCGCACUAAUUCAGGAUCAAACAUGUUGAUGUAAAAUAUUUGCCAGAAUUUUGGGGAAUUUCAUGGACAAGCUAAGAGAUGAAUGCGAAAACUCGAACUCAUUAAAAAGAUUGUUCUGAUACCAUCUUAUCUAUAGAAUUGGUACGAUGGAGAACAACCUGAUUCAUCAUAACUCAAACUCUUUGCAUUCCAUCACCAGUACUAUUUAUUUUAUUUUUUUUUUUGGCUUUUCUUUUUUAGUUAUUAUUAUUUUAUUUUUGGAGCUCUCAUUAAAUGGGUUGGCGAGUUGCGGUUGUAAUAGGGUAGAUGAAUCAGACGAGUAGCGCUACUGAUUAGGAUUCUUUGUAGAGUUGUCAAAACCAACUUAAUUAUACUUUUUAAUCUUUUUAUCUUCUUCUUUUCCCCUUUUUCUUUGUUUUUUUUUUUUUUUUUUUUCCAAUCACACAAUCCUGUGUUACUUCACAAUCGCCAGAAGAGAAACAAUUAAACAAAUAAAGAAACACACUACAAUGAUCAAAUAACAUGUACAUACAAAGGAUCACACUCAUCCGUGUCAUACCCAAACUCAUCAAACACCUUGGACCCCUCGUGCUCAAAACUCUUUAUCCCCGAACACCACUUCACCACCUCCUCAUCGGCCUCAAACCCCACGCAAUCCCUCGCACACAACCUCUCCAGGUUCUUGCACCCGUGCACUAUCGCCGAGAGCUCUUCCCUGGGCAAGUAUGAUCUGCUGAGGCACAAGAAUUUGAGGUCGGGGAGGCGGUCGACGAUCGCGGCGGCGUCCUCUUUCUUGAUCGCGCCGUGCAUUUUGAGCCCGACGACGGAGUUGGAACUGCGGCCGAUCUGGGCGGCGGUUUCUAAGAAAGACGAGGGUUUGGAUUCCAUUUCGAGCCAUUCGAGCUCUCCCCAUUUCGCGACGAUCUCCGGGAGGUGCGGCUCGUCUUCCGACGCCAGGUUUGGUAGGAUCACUUUCCUAAGUUUCGUGCACCUGCAUGAAAUUCAAUUUACGAUUUUAAUUACUCUUAACACUUCUGUUCACGUGCAUGGUGGAUAUGCAAUUGAGUAUACGUAUACAUAUAUAUAGAUAGAUACGAUAGAAAACGGUUCAGAAAUAGUCACGUGUAUGAGCGGUGCGUACUCUUUCGCGACGUGCAGGUCGCGUAAGGACGCACCGAAGAGGAGAGGGAAGGCGAGCUCGACGGCGGAGCCGCGGCUGCGGGCGACGCAGAGCCUGAGGAAUCCGGAGAAGGAGAAGCGCGGGACGGCGUAGCGGUCGGAGAAUUCGCGGGAGAAGCGGCUCCACGGCAUGAAGUCGAUGUCGUGGAAGUCGAGCAGGGUCCAGCAGAGGGGGUCGAGGGAUGCUCGGUGCCACGACUUGCACACGAAGGGCACGCCGACCGCCAAGUCCUCGAGGCUGAGCCGCCGGAAAAUGAGAGAUAGGCAAUCGGCCGCCAUCUCCGACCACCGCCGACCUUCUGAUUCCAUCGAUCUCUAUUCUCUUAUUCUCUCUUUGUUGUAUCUCUUUGUUGUAUGUCGAAUGUGUGGGUCUACAUAUGCAUUUAUGUUACUAAUUUUAAGGGAGUUUGGAGAGGGGAGUGUGAGGCAUUUAUGCAAACAGGUGAGUGUAUUUGUGAAGGUUAAUUCGGCCCGGGGAGUGGGGGAGUGGGGGAAAAUUUUUGCAUGGACCGUCGUCCACGGUGGACCGGUUUGUUAAGCUCAAUUUACGUUAGGGUGCGUUUAGUUACACGUAAAAUUGUGGAAAAAAAAUUUUAUGUCGUUUAGUGUUUGGUUUGUAGGAAAAGAAAAUUAGUUUUUCGUAACUAUUAUUUGGUUGAAAGGAAAAAAGAUUAAAUAAAAAACUAUUUAAUAUAUUUUUAUUAUAUAAAUAAUUAAUAAUAUAUAAUAAUUAAUAUACUAUAUAUAUUAUUAUUAUAAUUUCUAUAUAUAGAUUAAAUAUAUUUAAAAUUAUAAUAAACAUAAUACAAAAU
rnacentral:lncRNA from 1 species